CGCAACUAAUGUAAGCUGAAUAAUAUGAUCAUUCACUAUAAGGUCUGAUAUUAAUUCAUAAAAUCUGGUUUUCCCCCUAAACGUAACGGAAAUCAUAUUUAUCACACUUCCGGCUAGCUCUCCCUUGAGGAGCCUUGUCUACCAAAUAGGUAAGUUCAAGCAACUUCAAGAGAGAGUUUCCUCCACAUUAAGUCUUAAACAUCUACUGGACAGCAGGCAAUUCAAAACCAAAGUAAGCUGCUGAAUACAACUAGAAUAAACAAGGAAUCGGGCUAAGCUAUUGUCUUCAUCAUAACAUGAUUUUGGCCCCCAUUUACUAAUUUCGUACCACAUUUUCACACUCUUUCCUUGAAUUUUAUAAUUCCUAUGCAACAGAGUUCAUUCAUUGCCUAUUCACAACAUUACAAGGUUCUACAGAGUUCAAUCCCACACCAUGUUAUAGACAUGCUUCAACUAUCAACCUGGAACGUAAUCGUUAGGGUUUCAACAACUUCAGAGAUACAACAAUUACCAUAAGUCUCAUCUCCGACAUUCAUACAGAAAAUCGAAUAAAAUUCGAAAUCAAGAAUUAAUCCCAAAACUGAAAGUUGAAAAUUCGGAAAAAGAACUUACAUUGGAGAACAGCCCACGAGAAGAGGAUCAUUUCUACGUCUUAGGUCGAGGUCCAAUUACUGCGAUAUUGGCCGGAAGUUGGAUGGAAAACCCUGGGUCACCGUUUCUUAAAUUGGAAAUUGCGGAAAACCGCCUACGAAUUUAUAGAAACGAACUUGGGGAUUGGAUACAGGACGGCAAGAGCAUUCAGGAUGUGUAGUUUGACAGCCUUUGGUGACCUGUGGACGACAGAGCUGUUGCGUGGCAGUCGUCGGCUUGGGCCGCUGUUGCAGCGUGUGAAAGAGAAGAGGGAGCGAGGAGAGAAAAUGGGUUUCUCCCACUUUUUGGAUCUUAAUUCUUUUCCACAUUUUUUUAUAUAGAAUAAACGAUAUUAUUUAUCACUAAAAGUGCGUUUGGUAUGUAAGAUGGGACGGAACACGUUUUGAUGAUAAUAAUAGCUAGAAGUAAUAAUGUAAUAUAGUUCAAAUUCGUUUUUGAUAAUAAUCAAAUAUAAAAGGGAAUUGUUAUUAGCAUUCCAAAAAUCUCAUUCUACACUCCUCACAAGUGUAUUUUUCUUUCUAAUUAUAGAAAGUUUAGAGUGCCAAAUGAGAUUUUUGAAUUGCUAAUAACAAUUUCCUAAAUUCUCUCACUUAUAAAUUACAAGUAAAGAAAAAUACUAUUAAAUUUUUUCCACUUUUAAUGCAUAUCUAAAUAAAAAGAGACAAAAUGAAAAGGAAAAGAAAUAAAAUAAUUUGAAAUAGAAAUAAAAAUUAAGGGUAAAUCUCAUAUUACUAACCUCAUGUUUCGUGGUUUUCAACAUUUAGUACAUCAAGUUUUUUUUCGUCCCAGAGUCAUACCUAAAGUGUAAAUUUUGGGACAGUCUCAGACAUUCGUUAGUCAAACUGUUAAGUCUCCCGUUAACUGAUGACAUGGCGUCCAUGUGGACAAUGACUGGGUUCCAUGUGUCAUUAAGGGGUCCACGUGGAUUUUUUUUUUAGAGAAAGAGUUUUAAAAAAAAAUUUCCUGCCCAAAAUUUUUAACCCAUAAUCGUGUACCUUACAUUUUUCCCGCCAAAUUUUUUUGGAAAAAAAAUAAAAUUAAAUAGGGAAAAAACACCAACUUUCUACUCCAAAUCUGCAAAUUCAAUUCCAAAAAAAAUUUGAAUUCUAAAUCUGCAAAUUCAUCAUUUAAACUACCAACUACCAACAAAGUUCAAUUGUCAACAACUUUCAAUUCAUAACAAAGUUCAAUAUACACCCUCCAAUUCACACGAAAGUAUCAAAAGACCACAACUUUAACAACUAAUGGGUUAAGGUGUUCUUCCAAAAACCAAAAUAAGAGUACCAAAAACACCAAAGAUAUGUCCAAAACACUAAAAUCUAUCAGAAAGUUGUUUCCAAAAAACCUAAGGGCAUAUUCAACUAUAACAAAAUGAACCCUUAAACAACCUAAAGCAUUAAAGCAGCAUCAUGGAACAUUCCUCCUCCUUUUCUAACCUCUUGUGGUAGACUUUGAAGUGGUUUGAGAGGCUUGAGUUGGAUGAGAUAAAGGUUGUGGAGCUUUCUGAGUGCAUAUUGGUUGUGAUGACUGAGAGGGUUGUGAUACCUUAGAUGUUGAGGCCUAAGUAAUGAACCCAAAUAGCAUUAGCACUGACAGAUACUACACUUCACAAAUAACAAAUUCACUUAAGAAAUGAAAAAUCAACAAAAAAAUAUCAAAAUUAUACCUCAUUUUUCUUGCUUUUUCUUCCUUUUCUAGCAGUUGAAGGAGGAUGAGUGGUUGGGCAUCUAGCCUUGUUGUGUCCCGAGUCCUUGCAAACACUACACUUCACACUUUUUUUGCCCUCUCUUGCUUAACUUGAUUCAUUUUCAUCAUCCUCCCUAUAUCUCCUCUUUUUUGGUUUCCCAGGUUGCCUUUUAAAAGUUGGAGGAAGAAUGCAUUUGUUUUCAGAUGGCUCCUAAAAUUUCAUGCCUUGGAUGGGUUGAAUCAAGUUUUCGUAAGCUUCAAAGUACUUCUCCUUCUUGUACCAAGAGGAAACAAAUUCCUCAGGUUGUCUCCUUGCAUAAUAGAUGGCCGAGCAACCAUGUAUGCAAGGAAAGUCUGUCAAAUCCCAUCUUCUACAUAAGCAAGUGCAGCCAUUCAAAUCCACCACAAAUAUAUUGCCUCUGCCUUCAUCCACUUCAAAAUUUUCUCCUCCAGACCAUGUAGCUAUAGUGUGUGAGCUUUUCAGUUUGAACUCUUCCAACAUCUUCUGGAUUUUUUGGCAGAUAGCUCCUUUAUCCUUCCACAUUGCAUCUUUUCUUAACCAUAUCCUCUUCAUCAAUAAAACUCUUAUAGUUUCCAACAUGGUAAUAAUAGGCUUAUCCCUAUACCUUAGGAUAAAAGAAUUAAAGCUCUCACAGAGGUUGUUUAAGAGAAUGUCACACUGAGUGUGUGUCUCAAAGUGUGAUCUACUCCAAUACAAGGCUGGUCUCUUUACCAACCAUUUAUAAGCUUCGACAUUCAGCCUAUUCACCUCAGCCAUACUCUCUCUAAAAUCAGUGAUGGUUAUUGCGUUGGCAGCAUUCCACAAGGCAUCCUGUAAUCCUUUCCCUUUAAACCCAUCUGCCUUGUAGUUGGUGUAUAAGUGCCUAACACAGAACCGAUGAUUACAAUUAGGAAGCAAUUUCUCAAAAGCUGGUAUUAAACCUUUUUGUUUGUUAGAAAUGAAAGUCUAAGCACGCUGAUUCACAAUUCCCAAGUCAGCAGCUAGCAGCUCCAGAAACCAAACUCAACUGUCCUUGUUCUCGAGCUCUACUAUGGCAUAUGCAAUAACCCAAGUUUGGUUAUUUUGCAUCUAUUCCCUGUAGACAGUAGGCCUUUGAACCUCCUUCAAGUGACAACAUCCAAUAGCUGCCUUCCAUUCUUAAAUCCAUUUUUGUAAGCCCCUAAACAAAUAUAAAUCCUCUGAAAUAUCACAUGAGCAUCAUCAUAGGGCAACACCUUCAUCUGAACUGUACAAGUGACAACCACUUUGCCUUACAAGCUUUACUUUUUAAAUCCUCAAGCCCUAAACAACCAUAUAUAUUUUCUCUUUUUGAGUCACUUCAUACUCCAACAACAUGCAUCCUUUGUGAGUUAGGAUCCCCUAAAAUCUCGGACAUUCUAUUUCCAACAUAGGUUCUCGUAUGCGCAUGAUUAUUCAUUGUAAUUUGUUAACUAAAUCCUCCAUGAUAUAAGUUUUUCUCACACCUUGCACUAAUAUUUGUACAUCUUUUUUUAGUUAUAGUGCACCAUGCUUAUAGUGACAUUUUUUUUAUCUUCAAUGCUUAAUGAACAUACUGCCUCUCUUCCAAUCAUCUUGAACUUCAAUUUCCUUGUCAUCUUCCUUUCUUUUUAGCUCAGGGUAGAAUCUCUCAUCACAUUCUGACCUGAAUCGUAACACUGUGCAGGCUAUUUAAGUCUUGUCUCUCAUCAAGGGGAGUCUAUACAUACCUAGCAUCAUAACGUCUUCUGAAUGUUGUCCCAUACCCUUUCCCCCUCAGCAUCUCCAAUUUUUAUCAGCGUAUCAUCUCUUACGCGAUCAUCAUCUAUAUUACUUCACCUGUCCCACCUAACUCAUAUUUGUUAAAAUCCUCUUGCAUUUAAUUGACAAAUAAAUGCAAAUUUGUAAAAAUAAAACCUUUAAGAUAUUAAACGGCCUUAAAAUAUUAACUUUAUUAGCUUCUGACUUCAUUUAGUUUCAAUACAUCACCUUUUUCUCUCAUCGCUUUCAUUAUCAGCAUUGGAUGAAUCAGCCUCAUUCACUUCCACUUCCUCCCUCAGUUGCUUGCCUCAUAUUCUCUCAACCAUGUGCUAUGCAUUCAAAAGCACAGCCGGUUUUCUGUAUGCCGCACCCUUUGCCUUCGCUUCUUCAGUUUUAUCCACUUUCCCUUUGUAAUCGAAAUCGCCUCUCCCUCAAUACUUCAUAAUAAUGACACCGUUUUAAAUAUGCACUCUCUCUAGAUUUCAUCAAGCUUAUGAUUUCAAGCAGCUUGCUUCGACUUGAUUGUUCUAGUAAUUUCUAUUUACCUACCCGGAACAUAAUUGCCCACUUUCACAUAUCUGGCCUGUUCGUUAAGCUUAAUCCUCCUAUAGACAUCACAGAAUUAUAGGUACAACAAAAAACCCAUCAAUAGAAUCCUUACCAUUUUCCAAUCUCGAAAAAAAGUCAUGAGAUCUUUGUCUACGUAAUCAUCUAAGCCUCAAACUUCCCCGUGUAUAUGCAUUUAAGACCACUUCCCAUGCUGCAAAGUAAGGAGAAAGGUGAAAAACAUAAAAAUAAUCUAAAGGAUUUAAGGGUUUAUAACAAAUACAGGUUAACCCAAACCAAUUGAGACCAAGAGGAAAUGGUGAAUACAAAACAUGGGAUAAUGAAAACAGGGUUUUUUAAGGUUUCAUAUAGGAUCGCCUUGCAGACAAAGAAACAUUUUGAAAAAUCGGAUACAACCUAAACCCAUAUCUAUCUAAUACUUCAAAAAAGGUGGUAGGUUUACUACAUUAAAAAGGUAGUGUCUUACACCACACUUUUUUUCCCCCACCCAUCGCCAGCGCAUGGCUUAACGAAUCAAGUGACCCAGAGUAAACAGUGGGUUCUUUGAGUGGCAAGGGUGUGCGAAAUGUUACGACGGCUUGUGAGUGGGUCCCCUGAAAGUGAAAUAUUUGGAGGGUUUAAAUUGUGCCAUUCAUGUCCACAUGGGCACCACGUCAUUCAGUUACGGGAGACUGGUAACAGUUCAGUUAACUUAACAGGGUGAUGAACUGUCCAAAAUUUACACUUUAGGUAUACAAACUGGAACGAGAUGUAAACUUACCACGAUAACAGAGGUGAGAAACCCCAUCGAACACAUGAGGGUCAUAAUGAGAUUACCCAAAAAUUUAAAGGUUCUGAUUCGUUCUGCUUGCGAAAACACGUUCGUAAUUGAGAGCAUUGAAUGACUAAGGAAUAUUACGAUGAUAUGUCAUACGUGAGUUUUCGCUGAAAUUUUUUUGAUGGGAUUUGCAUUGGCAGCCAAUUUUGGAGCCACCCAUCGUAAGGCAGGAGAAUUGGAGAUAAUGUUGUGUUUGAAAGGAGUUUCUUAAAAAAUACAUAGAAUAAUGUCCUCCUAGAUGUGCCUUGCAGGGUGGAAUCGAUAGCUAUGAUACCUUGUUGGAAAAUGGGCGGUUACUAGGGUUCAUUAGGCUGGUAAUAAAAAAAAAAUUUCCAUUUACUAAAACACUUUCAAGAAACGAAUCGCACAAAAAUUGUAUGAUUACCACUAUUGUGAGCUUUGACUAUUGUUUCAAAGCCAUCGAGAAUUUACCAAUUCCUAUAUUGAUGACGUUUUACUGUGAAAGGAUAAAUCCACAAAGAAUUGCUCAAGCCUAUAGUGAUGAAAUUGAGAAGUGGGUUUGAGGAAAGCACUUGCAUUCCAUUAAUUGUACUUUCACUUGGUCAUUGUUCUUUUGUUAAAAGAGAAUAGAAUUUAAAAGCACUUUCUUUUGUCUCCACCUUUCUGAGAGACACUAUGGGUUUGGAUAACUUCUCUUUCCCUAUAGUUUUUUCUUUUUCUUUUUACCAUUUACUAGAACACCUAGUGUUGGAUACUUAGAUAAUGUUUAUUGCAAAUUAUUAUAUAUUGUACAGACACUUUUGUUGUUUGAACAAGGCUAGAUGAUCUUUAUAUUUGCACCUAGACAUAAUUUGUUUACAUACAGCGUAAUAUAUUUCUCUAGAAAAUUUUUUGUACCUUUAUUGCAUUUUAUUUCACUAUUCACUUUGUUUCUGUUAACAGUUUAGAAAUUUAUUUUUACAAUCACAUUUGUAAUUUGGAAUCAAAGUUUUGAAAUAUUUCGGUAUAAGGUGUUUGAAUGUACUUUGUGAUUAAGAAACCUAAAGUGUUGGAUUUUACAACAUCAUUUUUCUUGCAAUUCAUUCCUUUAGUACCAUAUUAUUGUUUUUUGAACAAAAUACCAAAAACAGAAUUUCAUUUUUUCUCUACCUGUUGCAUAUUUGAUUCUACAAUACAGUCCGUCAUAUUUAUUUGCCACUUGAUGUGCACCCUGAUCUGCCUCCAAUAUGCAUGCUAACACUUCGGCAAAAUUAAUUUAUCUAUGAACCAUCAAUUUGUGAAGCACCACUCACAAUUAGUACCAUGACUACACCUUGUGCUGAACAGUUGUAGAAAGACUGAUAAAAGAAGUUUCAAUUUUAUUUUUGCGGGACCAUGCAUUGGCAUUCGUUGCAUUUUGACACCACUACUACCUGCAUAUGACUUGUUGCUGAACAAGGCAUAGAUUUCAAAAUUUCAAUUUUAAUUUGCCGGACAAUUGAUUGCGUUGAUUUACGAUACAGGUACGUACGUACUUUUCUAAAACUCUAUUUCUUUCCAUUAUUUGUUGUUUUAGACGUUUGUUUUUACCCUGCCUGACCAAGAAACAAAAGUGUUAAUUUAACAUUCUAGUACCCGCCAAAUAUUGUAUUUCGGCUGAGCUCCAACACUAUGACUAGGCGCCAACUCAACAAUUUUAUUGAUUAGCUUUUGACUUCACACAGUUUUGUAUUUUAGAUGUCUAAAAUAGCCCUAGUAACUUAUGUCAAAUUAAAAACAAAUUUUAAAAUCAUGAUUUCAUUGCAUAUUAAUAAUAAUAGGAUAUGAUGCUAGGGUUUUCAUUUGUUUUAUUUUUUUCCCUUUUAAAUUCCUUAGUUGCUUUUCAAAUUUGCAUAAAUUAGGAUUUUUUUUGGUUUAGUUUUUCCGUUUUCAAAAUAUGUGAGCAUUAGUUACCAACAAAAUAUAAGAAUGUUAUUUUUUUUCCAAAAUUAUUUAAUUAUAUUCUAUAUAAAUAUAGGUAAAUUAUUUCUCUACACAUAUAUAAUAACAAUAAAAUGUGGUUAAUGUAUGUAAUAAUACAUGCAAAAUAAUUUACCUUCAACAUAAAGGAUGUGAUUUGGUUCAAGAUUUAUUUUACCUAUAUUUCACAUAUAGGUAUAGGUAAAUUAUGAAAGAUUCUUUUUUUUUCUUUUUUUCUUUUUUUGUCUUUUGGCUUAACAUAUAUAGAUAAGUAAAUCAUUUUUUGUCAUUUGGUUUGAUAUAAAGGAUGUCAUAUGUCAUUUGGUUCAAAAAAAUAUAAGUAAAUUAUUUUAUGAAGAUUAUCAUUAUAUAAUAAUAAUAAAAAGGAGAAUAUAUAUAUAUUGUUUCAAUUAUGUAAAUAGUUUGUAAUAUGAGGUUAUUUCUUUGUCUACAUGUCAAUGGAUUUAGAUUCCGUUUACAAGAGUUAAUACCAAACAUACAAUUUCAGUUGUCCUUGGACAGAAGCCACUAAAUGAGUAAAGGACAACGGGACGAAACAACCUUCUACCUGGCGUAUGUACCUUGCCACUUUCAAUAAAAACAGGUGUGUUUCAAUUUGAUAUUUAAAUAUAUGUGGAUUUUGGGCUGCUUAUUAUGUGAUUUUGCCGAACUCCCCCUCCCAUUAAUGUAAAAAUAUCGAUGUACUAAAAAAUAUAUAUGUGGAUUUUUGUUUAAAAAGUAAAAUUACAAAGGUCUAUUUCUAAAGAACCCUAUGUAUCAACAACAAUUUCAACUAAUUCAAGUCCAGCAACACAAUAAACUCAAAUAAAAAUUCAAUUAUUUUAAACACAGUGAUGAUCUUAUAUUCAAAGAUAAUUUUGAUCUAGGUGCUUGAUUUUUGAAUUUGAUAGACCCAACAUCCCUAGCUUUUAGACUUUUUAUUAAGGAAAAAUUAGUAUCUGGUCCCUAGUUCUUACUGUUCAUUGACUAAGACCUUAUUAGUUCUCAAAUUUUGAUUCAAGUCCCUAGCAUUAAUGUGAUAAUGAAUUUACAUGUUUAUUUGUUAAUUUUUUAAUAUAAAAAUUAGUAAUUAAUUUAGGGUUUAAUACUCACACCUCUAUUAAACUUCUAAUUAAUUUUCAAUUCAAACAUUUCCAAAAUAAUAAAAAAUUAAAUUAAAUUAAGUUUGUACCUAUUAGUUUAUAUAUAUAUAUAUAUAUAUAAAGAUUCUCAAUUUUUUAAUCUUAAAUGUACCCAUUCAUAUAAUUUUUCAAUUUUUUUAAUCUUCAAUGUACCCAUUCUCAAAUAUAUCAAUUUCUUAUAUGUAAAAUGUACUUUUUUUUUAAUAUAAAAUCCAUUCAAAUUUUUUAAUCCAUGUUUAAACUUAUAUGGGUACAUUUUUUUCGUUGAUUUGAGAAUGUAUCCAUGUUUUGGUACAAUAACUUUUUUUGUUAAUUUUGGUUAAUGUACCCAUACAUAUAUGUACACACACACACAAUAUAAUAGAGAGUAUAAUUUAUAUUUUAUUAUUUUUAAUCCCAUAAAUUAUGGGUUUUAUUUAAAAUCUCAUUAAUAUAAACAAUUACAAAUUUUAAUUUUUAAUUUUUAAUUUUAAAAAUAUAGUAACUUACAUUAUUACAUUAAUGUCAGGGACCUCAAUCAAAAACUAAAAACUAACAAGAUUUCAAUCAAAGAAUAUUGAUAGCUAGGGAUCGCAUCCAAAGUGUCCCAUUUAUUAAACUACUUUCUACAAUUUUGGUGCCACGAUUUUUAAAACGUCCUCUUUCUAAAAUUCAAAAUAACAUGAACUGUCAUUAAUCCACCAAUUUAUUCCAGAAACAAUAUCCAAAGCUCCUAAAUCUAGCCUUCUUUAAACCAAAAUUAUUAUUAUUACUCCAACAUAAAAAUACAUAAUUAUUAAGUUAUCAAUCAAUGAUAUGUACCAAAAAUUAAAAUUAUACAUACCAAAAACUAAAAUGAAACGUACCAUUAACUAAAAUAAAACAUACCAAAUACUAAAACUAAACAUACCAAUCAAUGGUAUGUGCACAACUGAACAUACCAAAAAACAAAAUUAAGUAUGAAAACCAAUAAUAAACGUACCAAUAAUGUAUACAAAAGAAUUCUCUUAAUAAAAUGUAUAUAUAACAAUUUAAAAAAUAUAAACAUCCACCAUUUUCGUUAUCUUGAACAUAAAAUUAUAUUUUAAUUUUAGGAGAAAAAAUAUUUUGUACGAAAAAAUUAUUAAAAAGAGAAUUGGAUAAAUAUAUUGAAUGAAAAAUCAAGAUUAUCUCCAAAAAAAAUCGCUUAACUAAUUAAAGGACAAAUUAAGAAACCAAUAUACAGUGAGGUAUAUGGUAAUGGCAUGAGGAUGAAUGAAAAAACAACAACAACAACAACAACAAAGCCUUUUCCCACUAAGUGGGGUCGGCUAUAUGAAUCCUAAAACGCCAUUGCGCUCGGUUUUGUGUCAUGUCCUCCGUUAGAUCCAAGUACUCUAAGUCUUUUCUUAGAGUCUCUUCCAAAGUUGUCCUAGGUCUUCCUCUACCCCUUCGGCCCUGAACCUCUGUCCCGUAGUCACAUCUUUGAACCGGAGCGUCAGUCGGCCUUCUUUGCACAUGUUCAAAAUCACCGGAGCCGAUUUUCUCUCAUAUUUCCUACAAUUUCGGCUACUCCUACUUUACCUCGGAUAUCCUCAUUCCCAAUCUUAUCCUUUCUCGUGUGCCCACACAUCCCACGAAGCAUCCUCAUCUCUCCGCUACACCCCAUUUUGUGUACGUGUUGAUGCUUCACCACCCAACAUUCUGUGCCAUACAACAUCGCUAGCCUUAUUGCCGUCCUAUAAAAUUUUCCCUUGAGCUUCAGUGGCCUACGACGGUCACACAACACGCCGGAUGCACUCUUUCCAUCCAGCUCGUAUUCUAUGGUUGAGAUCUCCAUCUAAUUCUCCGUUCUCUUGCAAGAUAGAUCCUAGGUAGCGAAAACGAUCGCUUUUUGUGAUCUUCGCUAGAUUGCUCCGGUCAUUAGUGUGGGUAAGUAUAUAAAUGGAUAGAGAUAGGAAAGCAAACACAAGAUGUACGUGGUUCACCCAGAUUGGCUACGUCCACGGAAUAGAAGAGUUCUCAUUAAUUGUGUGAAGGGUUUACACAAGUACAUAGGUUCAAGCUCUCAUUUAGUGAGUACAAGUGAAUGAUUUAGUACAAAUGACAUUAGGAAAUAUUGUGGGAGAAUGAUCUCGUAAUCACGAAACGAAACUUCUAAGUAUCGGAGUGUGGUGUCGUCUUGACUUGCCUUAUCUGUCUCAUAGGUAGAUGUGGCAUCUUCUCUGGAAGUACUCUUCCUCCAUCCAGGAGUGGUGGUAUCUUUAACUGGUGGAGAUGCACACAAGGUAAAUGUAUCAAUUUCAAUUUCACUUGAAGCUUACUUGUAGUUUCAGGCUUGGUCAAGCGCGAUACAAACCAUGUAGUAGGAGUCCCCCAAGUCGCCGAGCUAGGGGGUCUGCUGAAAGAGGUGACAGACAAGGUAAGCAAUCAGAGCUCCGACUGAUUGUUCACCUUCUCCCCAUCUUGCAGCAGCAUGAAGGAUAAAGAGAAGAAAAAUGAGAAGAGAUGAUAUGAGAUACUUUUGCUUUUGAAGAAGUAACUUUCCACAGGCUUAUUCUUGAACUGAGCUGGAGGGUUUUCUGGUUUCCUCCAGAGUAUAAGGCCGACUGAAGAAUUUGAGGGUCAAAACAAGUCCAUCAAAUCUAGAGUACGUUCCACCCUGCUGAUAUGGGAUACUUUUGCUUUUGACAGAGUAAUAAAUGUAUCGGCACGUGUGCUGUUACGCUUGUCUCCACAUGCUUCCUUGUAUCCUUCGCACUUGCCCUAUCUGUUCCUCAAGCAGAUGCGGAAUCUUCCCUGGAAACAUAAGAUGUUGAAGAUGAGUACUCGAGAGCAAUGCCAGGUAAGUAAUCAGGUAAGGGGUUCCAGGCAGUCAGUUCCUGGCUGGAAGCUUGAUUCCAAGUGCUGACUGAUUGCUCUCUUUCUCCUUGUCUUGCAGGUAAAAACAAGGCCAAAAGAAAAGACAGGGAAAAAGCAUGAUAUGGGAUACUCUUGCUUUUAACCCUGAUGAUAUGAGAUAUUCUUGCUCUAGUAUAGCUUGUUUGCAGAGGUAUUAUCAGGGGGAAAGAAAGCUGAAUAUUUCGAAAGGCUUCGUUGGGAGUGUCCUCUCAGAUAUGAUGAAGGGUUGAGCAUUUUUGCAGGUCUGCCUGUCCGUUGGGGAUGGAGGUCGACAUAUAUAGGAGUCUCCCUAACAACAAGUAGUAAUGUUAUUCCUUUACCCUGCUUGGUCAUAGCACGGUAGUGGGAGCUGCCAGUUUCACAUGUUUUAACUCUGUCAGAGCACUUUGAAAAAGUGGUCUGUGGUAUCUGGCUCUCGAGAUUCGGAGAACGAUGCCUCUUCGAUUUUUGAGAAAGCAAUCAUGCUGGGGGUAUGACUCUCGAGAUUCGGAGAGCAGUGUCUCUUCGAUUUUUGAGGAAGUAAUCAUGUUGGGAGUCUGGCUCUCGAGAUUCGGAGGGCGGUGCCUCUUCGAUUUUUGGAGCAAGCAAUCUUGUUGGGAGUGUUGUCUCGAAUGUGAGUAAAGGUUGGGCAUGUUUGCUAGUCUACCUUGCCACGAAGCACAAAGGUUGACACACAGGGACUUUCCAAUUAUCCAGCAAUGGUACUGUUCCUUUACCCUCUCUUCGAUUUUGAGAAAGUAGUCAUGUUGGGAGUCUGGCUCUCGAGAUUCGAAGGACGGUGCCUCUUCGAUUUUGGAGCAAGCAAUCUUAUUGGGAGUGUUUUCUCUCGAAUGUGAGUAAAGGUUGGGCAUGUUUGCUAGUCUACCUUGCCACGAAGCACAGAGGUUGACACACAGGGACUUUCCAAUUAUCCAGCAGUGGUACUGUUCCUUUGUUCCACACAGUUGUGGGUAAUAAUAUGGUAGCUAGACCUUCAAAAUUUAUGUGUCUAAACUUUUGUUAGUGCUGUUUCUUUGCUAUUCUUUUACCUUUCUUGGUCAGAGCGAUGUAGUGGGAGCUGCAAGCUUCACGUGCUCAACUUUGGCAGAGAACUUUGGCAAAGUUAUUUGUGGUACCCAUGAGCUAUUGUUGCGUGUGGGAAGUGGGUGAUUGAACAGUAAGAUUCAUGUGCUUUCUACUUCACCAGAAGUCUUCGACAGAAUGCCCAUAAUUUCUGCAAAGCUGAGUGUGCGUGUGACAGUUGCUGACAAGGCUAGAAAAGUAGGUGCCUCUUCGAUUUCUGAGAUCGGCCCUCGUGGUCUCUGAGCAGCCCAGCUUUUGAGAAAGCGAGCGCCUCUUCGAUUGAUUCGGAGAACGAUACCUCAUCGAUUUUUGAGAAAGCAAUCAUGCUGGGGGUCUGGCUCUCGAGAUUCGGGGAGCAGUGUCUCUUCGAUUUUUGAGAAAGUAAUCAUGUUGGGAGUCUGGCUCUCGAGAUUCGGAGGGCGGGUGCCUCUUCGAUUUUGGAGCAAGCAAUCUUGUUGGGAGUGUUUUCUCGAAUGUGAGUAAAGGUUGGGCAUGUUUGCUAGUCUACCUUGCCACGAAGCACAGAGGUUGACACACAGGGACUUUCCAAUUAUCCAGCAAUGGUACUGUUCCUUUACCCUCUCUUUCGAUUUUUAAGAAAAAGUAGUCAUGUUGGGAGUCUGGCUCUCGAGAUUCGAAGGACGGUGCCUCUUCGAUUUUGGAGCAAGCAAUCUUAUUGGGAGUGUUUUCUCGAAUGUGAGUAAAGGUUGGGCAUGUUUGCUAGUCUACCUUGCCACGAAGCACAGAGGUUGACACACAGGGACUUUCCAAUUAUCCAGCAGUGGUACUGUUCCUUUACCCUUGUGGGUAAUAAUAUGGUAGCUAGACCUUCAAAAUUUAUGGGUCUAAACUUUGUUAGUGUUGUUUCUUUGCUAUUCUUUUACCCUUCUUGGUCAGAGCGAUGUAGUGGGAGCUGCAAGCUUCACGUGCUCAACUUUGGCAGAGAACUUUGGCAAAGUUAUCUGUGGUACCCAUGAGCUAUUGUUGCGUGUGGGAAGUGGGUGUGAUUGAACAGUAAGAUUCAUGUGUUUUCUACUUCCCCAGAAGUCUUUGACAGAAUGCCCAUAAUUUUCGCAAAACUGAGUGUGCGUGUGACAGGUGCUGACAAGGCUGGAAAAAGGCUGGAAAAGUAGGUGCCUCUUCGAUUUCUGAGAUCGGCCCUCGUGGUCUCUGGGGAGCCCAGCUUUUGAGAAAGCGAGCGCCUCUUCGAUUUUUUGAGAUCGGCCUUCGUGGUCUUUGAGCAGCCCAACUUUUGAGAAAGCAAACGCCUCUUCGAUUUCUGAGAUCAACCCUCGUGAUCUCUAAGCAGCCCAGCUUUUGAGAAAGCAAACGCCUCUUCGAUUUCUGAGCAGGCGCCUCUUCGAUUUCUGAAGCUUCGUCGAGUGCAGAUUUUUAUAGGGGUUGGCAUUAAGUUCCAAAGCACACUUGAAUCUCCACCAGUAGAAGCUUCAUUCUUGCACUUCUAAGAUCUUGAUUUGUCCGACCUCUUCUCUCUUCAACACCUUUGAAAAUGUCUGGCCCCUCCGACCGUCGUUUUGACUUGAACCUUGUUGAAGAGGCAGCCCCGCCUUCUCCAGACAACAUAUGGCGCCCAUCCUUCGUCUCCCCUGGUCCUCUUACCGUUGGGGAUUCCGUGAUGAAGAAGAAUAUGAUAUGACCGCUGCGGUGGUGGCCAGGAACCUUCUCACUCCCAAAGAUAACAGACUACUUUCCAAACGGUCUGAUGAGUUAGCUGUUAAGGAUUCGCUGGCUCUCAGUGUUCAGUGUGCAGGUUCUGUGUCUAAUAUGGCCCAACGCCUAUUUGCUCGAACCCGCCAAGUUGAAUCAUUGGCGGCUGAAGUGAUGAGUCUCAAACAGGAGAUUAGAGGGCUCAAGCAUGAGAAUAAACAGUUGCACCGGCUCGCACAUGACUAUGCUACAAACAUGAAGAGGAAGCUUAACCAGAUGAAGGAAACUGAUGGUCAAGUUUUACUUGAUCAUCAGAGAUUUGUGGGUUUGUUCCAAAGGCAUUUAUUGCCUUCGUCUUCUGGGGCUGUACCGCGUAAUGAAGCUCCAAAUGAUCAACCUCUGAUGCCUCCUCCUUCUAGGGUUCUGUCCAGUACUGAGGCUCCAAAUGAUCCCCCUCCGGUGCCUUCUCUUUCUGGGGCUCUACCGACUGCUGAGACUUCUCCUAAGCAACCUUUGUGAAGGCUCCCUCUUGUGUGCUUAUUUUUGACUCAUGUAUAUGUACAUAUUUGUAGCUUAUCGGGGAUAUCAAUAAAUAAGCUUUCCUUCAUUUCAACGUAUUGUGUUAAAUACACCAAAGCCUUCUUCGCUAAGUUCUUUGAAUUUUCUUUUGUUAAAGCUUGUAUGUUGAAGCUUUCUGAGUGGAGCAUGUAGGUUGGGGUAGUGUUCCCUUAAUUUCCCGAGUGAGGAAAACUUCUCGGUUGGAGACUUGGAAAAUCCAAGUCACUGAGUGGGAUCGGCUAUAUGAAUCUUAGAACGCCAUUGUGCUCGAUCCUGUGUCAUGUCCUUCGUUAGAUCCAAGUACUCUAAGUCUUUUCUUAGAGUCUCUUCCAAAGUUUUCCUAGGUCUUCCUCUACCCCUUCGGCCCUGAACCUCUGUCCCAUAGUCGCAUCUUCUAAUCGGAACGUCAGUAGGCCUUCUUUGCACAUGUCCAAACCACCGUAACCGAUUUUCUCUCAUCUUUGUGACUCAUUUCGAACUAAUACUAACUAAUUGUUAGUCAAGUGAGAAAUUUUCUAAUUAGAGAAAAAGGUCCUAAAUUUGAAUCGUAACUCCAACUUUGAUAAAAUAAAAAUAAAAAUAAAAAUAAAAUACCACUUAGAUUUAAACAGGACAAAAAUAUCUAAUAUUGUGUUGGGGUAGUGCUUCUUUGGUUUUAGGUAGUAGAGCACUGAGCACGAGACUUAAAAAAGCUACCAACAAAUAGGAGCAUUCAAGCCAUGGUCUUUGAUUUCAGAAGGAAAUGGAAAUUAUAAUUGCAAUUGCCUCAAAAAUUGGAGAGUCAUUGGUCGCACCAAUAGGAACAGAGUCUGCCUAUUUGAUUAAUUACCAUUCCAACCUAGAAAAUCUUAAGCGUGAGAUAAAAAAGCUCUGUGACAAGAAAAAUGAAGUGCAGGGAUGGGUAAAUGCUGCCAAAAGGAACGGUAAAUUUAUCCACCCUGAUAUUCAGAGUUGGCUAAAGAAUGUGGACGAAAUGAUCCAAAAAGUGUCGCAUUUUGAGGUUGAGAUUGACAGGAAAAGGCGAUGUAUGUAUCGAUGGAGCUUGAGUCGGAAAGCCUAUAAGAUUACACAACAUGUUCUCCAGCUCCAAAACGAAGGAACAUUUGAAAAUGUGGCCUAUGCUGCACCUUCACGAGAGAUAUGGUCAACAUUCAAAGACGGAUUUAAACAUUUCAAGUCCAGAAUGGAAAACAUGAAUGAGGUGAUAGAGGGUUUGAAGAGGGAAGAAGUAAGAAUGAUCGGGAUUUGUGGAAUGGGGGGUGUGGGUAAAACCACAAUGGCGAAAGAAAUCAUCAAAAGAUUAGCAGAACGGAACAUGUUUGAUAAAACUGUAAUGGCAACUGUGUCUCAAAGCCCAAGUAUUAAGACGAUCCAGUUGGACAUUGCAGCACAAAUAGAUUUGAAAUUUGAUGAGGAUUCUGAGUCCGGAAGAGCACUAAAGCUGCAUGACAGACUCAUGGAAAUAAGGAGGAUACUGAUUGUGUUAGAUGAUGUAUGGACAGAGCUUAAUUUUGAGGCUAUAGGACUUCCUUAUGGACAUACUCAUAAAGGGUGCAAAAUUUUGUUGACAUCACGGAAUUUGGAAGUCUGCAAUGCGAUGGAAAGUCAACAAAUUAUUGCAGUCCCAACUUUAACAACAGAAGAAUCACGGGAGCUCUUUAGAGAAAUCGUAGGUGAAUCCUUCGAUGAUCCAGAUUUCCAUUCCAUUGCAGAAGAGGUCGUGAAUGAAUGUGGAGGUUUACCUAUUGCAAUUGUAACUGUUGGAAAAGCCCUAGAAAAGAAAAAGAAGCACGAAUGGGUUAAUGCCCUUAAUCAGCUGCGAAAGUCUAUCCCAGAUAACAUCCCUGGACUAAACGGCAAAGUUUAUUCAAGCAUAAAAUGGAGUUAUGAUAGAUUGGAGAGUGAUGAAGCCAAGUCAUGUCUUUUACUUUGUUGUUUAUUUCCAGAAGAUUAUAGCAUUCCAAUUGAGGAUUUGGUUCGAUAUGGGUGGGAUCGAGGAUAUUUUAGCAGCAGCGAUACUUUGGAAGAAGCAAGAAAUAAAGUGCAUUCUUUGGUUGACCAACUACAAAGAAGGUUUUUGUUACUAGAUAAUGACUGGAGUGGGACUACAAAAAUGCAUGACAUAGUUCGCGAUGUUGUCAUAUCAAUUGCUUCAAGAGAUCCACAUGGAUUUCUGAUAAGAAGUAAUGCUGAAAAUAAAGGGUGGCCAAAUCUAGCUACAUAUGACCAUUACACUACAAUCUCACUUGUUGGCGAUUUGGAGAUUCAAGAUGGUUUGAAAUGCCCAAAACUUGAGUUUCUACAGACGAUGAAAGGACGUUUUUCAGAAGGUAGCAUGGACAACAUUUGUAAGGCGAUGAAAGAACUGAAGGUUUUAGCUUUGGUGCAAAUGGAAAUGGAAGACCUAGGCUCAUCAAGCUCACUAGGAUUACUGAAGAACCUGCGGACCUUGACCCUAAAUGGGUCUAAAUUUGAUGGCAUGUCUACUGAUGUUAUUGGGAGUUUGGAGAAUUUAGAAAUCCUCAGCUUUCGGGAUUGUGAUUCCAUGCGUGAGUUGCCGAGGGAAAUUGGACGACUUAAACAGUUAAGGUUGUUAGAUACGACAAAUUGCAGGAAUCUUGAGGUGAUUCCACAUGGUAUCUUCUCCAGCUUAUGUAGACUUGAAGAGUUAUAUAUGCUUGAUAGCUUUAAUAAAUGGGAAAUUGAAACAGGAAGAGAAGAGAAGGGGAUGGCAAGCAUUUCUAAGGUGAUGUCUCUGUCUCAUCAUUUGAAGGUUCUAUCCAUAAAUAUACCCCCCAAUUUCAUCCACUUGUUGCCAAAAGACUUAGUCUUGAAAAGCCCAAGAUUCGCUAUACGGCUUACACCAGCAAGGUAUUGUUUCCCCACAACUUAUGCAUUCGAAAAUUGUUUGGCAAUUGAUGAAAGUGAUGCGAGGGAACUGAUGGAGAGUCAAGCAGUUAGACUUUUGUUGAAAAAAUCUAAAAGAUUGAUUUUGAACUAUGUUAAGAAUUUCUCUGUCCUCACUGAUUUAGACCAAGAGGGAUUUCAAGAUUUGAAAGUUUUGGCUCUUUUGAAUUGUCCAAAUACCGAGUAUCUUGCAAAUGGAACAAGUGCGACCCAACAGGCACUCUUUCCUCGCAUACAGUCAGUUAGUAAGCUUUCGGAUGGCUUUUUGACCAACCUAAGAUGCCUUUAUUUGACAAAUUGUGAUGUCUUAAAAUAUGCCUUUUCACUAUCAGUAGCGAGAAACUUGGUACAACUCCAGGAAUUAAACGUUAAUGGAUGUGAUCAAAUGGAAGAAAUUGUGUCGAAGCAGGGGAGGGAACAUGAGGAGGAAGCCGAUAUGAUAUCUUUCCAUAAAUUAACCAAUUUGACUCUCGAGGGUCUAGGGAGUUUGGUUGGUUUCUUCCAAGCCAACAAGCUAUACUCCAACCAAGAGGUAUGUCCCACUCUCCAAUCUCUAUGAUAUGAGGAGGCAGCCAAUAUGUGGAAAUUUGAAAUUGUUUAACUGAUAAUGAUUUUUCUUUUUCAGGAAACAACGGCAAGGGUUGAGCAUCAAUCUGCAGGCAUAUUUGAAAAAGCAAUAUUUCCAUCAAAGUGCAUUUCAUGGUUUCCAUGUUUAGAAGAGGUAGAAUUGGAAGAUAUGAAGUUUGAAGGCGUGCUAUUUGAUCUGAAAAUCCAUGGCCAGACAACUCCAAUAUUUCCCCAGUUAAGUAAGUUGGAGAUAAUCCAGGGUUCGUUUACACACUUGUGGAAAAACAUUUCGUCUGGAUUUCAGGGCUUUCGAAAUUUGAGAUAUUUGGCAAUGAGAGGAUGUUGUGGUCUAAAAUAUGUGUUCUCGCAUUUAAUUGCCCGAGAACUUUUGAAUCUUCAAGAGGUAAAGAUAUCUAGAUGUCCGGACAUGGAAACUAUAGUUAGAAUCACAGAGGAAAAUGAAGAAGAGGCGACAAAAUACAUGAUUUUGUUUCCGAAACUGAACACAUUUGAACUAAAAUACCUGCCUCGUCUCACAAGUCUUUGUCCAGAGGGAUUUACAUUUCUAUGGUCAUCCGCAAAAAAUAUGCACGUGAAAAAAUGUGAAAAUUUGAAGACAUUGGGUGCUGUAAUUCCACAAAGAAAGAAGUUGGAGAAUAAGUCUGAGAAGGAUUCAACAAGUCAUGAUUUCAGCACUUCCCCAACAAGUUCAUCAAAUUGGUGCCCCGCUGGAUGUGGAUGCGCACCAUAUUCAAGACCAAACGCCCACCGCUCCAUUGAAAUAUUGCCACGUCCAGUUAAUUUGGAGGUAAGCUUUUAAAUUAGGUUCAAUUAACCUUUAUAAGUACAACUUUUAAUUAGUAUUGUACUCAUCUUGUUGAUCGUGUUUAAUUUUCUAGGUUACACCAACUAAUCUUGAGGACUCAAAUGAUGAUGAUGAUAAUCUCGAAAAUCUUACUGUAAGUGACUGUAAUUCAAUGGAAGUGAUUUUCCAACUAAAGGGACCGAAGCAUGAAGAAAGUAAUCACUCCAUUGAAGCAUUCAAUAAAUUGAGGUCCUUCCAGUUACAUAAGUUGCCAAGUUUAACGCGUGUUUGGGAGGUGGGUAGUUCACAACCAAUGUUCACAGGAAGCAGUUUUGGAAACUUGAAAUCGUUGCAGGUCGAUUGUUGCAACCAGUUGAAAUACUUGUUUCUGUCCUCCAUAGUCAAACUUCUCGUGAGUAUAGAGGACAUAGAAGUUAAGAAGUGUGAGCAGAUGGAAGAAAUCGUUGCCGCAGAAGAAGAAACUGAUGGAACAAUUACAUUACCUAAAGUGAAGUCCAUCAAGCUUCAAAGUCUGCCAAAACUCAAGUAUUUUUGUGGUGAAGCUUAUACUUUGAAGUUGCCGUCUUUGGAGUUAUUGAAGGUUAUUAAUGUGCAAGACAUAAGGCCAUUUGAUUCUAAGCUUGUUGACACGCAUAAUCCCCGAUUGCAAGUAAAACCCACAUUUCGACAGGAAUGGACAAGGUAUGCUUUAGAUUAAUGGACAAGGAAUCAACAGUUCAUAUUUAUUUUGAGAAAAGUGUUCUCAAAAUUUAGUCAAAUACCAUAUAUAUGUGCAUAUGUUCACACUAAAGUGUAUUCAAGUAAUUUUAUUUUUUAAAACUCAAUUCUAUCCCAAGAAAACAUCUGUCUUUUAUUUCUAAAACUGGAAGGAUAAUGAUGAUGAAUUGUACAGUGAGGAUGAAAAUGAAGAUGAGAAUUCUAUGGCGAGGAUGAAGAUGACGAAAUCGACGGCGAGGAUGAAGAUGACGAAAUCGACAGGGAGGACGAACACAAAUGACUGAUCAAGCACAAAGGUUAGCAUGUUUCCAUCUCCAACUUCUUCUAGGUUUAUUAAAAACUGAUGAAAUUAUCUAUGAAGUACACAAAAAAAUUUUCUACCAUGUUUUAUAGAAUAUGUACAUACAUGGAUAGUACUUAAUUAAACAAUAAGGAUCGUCGAACCACAUUCUGCUACUAAUUCAUUUUUUCAAGGUACCCAAUGCAAGUCGAUCUAUAAUAUGCACUCUAAAAGUACUAACCUUGAGAAGCCAUUCAUAUGAACAAGAUUGAACCAUGAUCAGCUACGAACAAGCAAAGAUCUUCCUCUUUCUCUACACACCUUAUGCACUUCUAUAUGGGGUAGUGUUUUAUGCUAGAAUAAUAUGUAUAAAAGUGGGACCUAAGCCUCAUAUUUAUAGGUGAGAGUAUUAGGUUUCUUGCCCAUAAAGAAAACCCUAAUACAGAUCUUUAGCACCUCUAAAAUCCAUGACCUAAUAGGAUAGAUAUUCCCAAAAAUUAUUGCUAUACUUCACCAUAAGUAAUCCGGAAUAAUCAAAUAUUACUUCCUUUCUUUUAUCCUUAAUCAAUUAGGACUCCUAAAUAGAUGUAAGCCCAAUAAAAGUCUUACACCCAAUAGCAGUCAAGAUGGAAGAAGCUUUUCGGAUUAGCAACUGCCUCAAGAAACCUUUAUCAGAUUCCACGAUAAUAUUGGAAUAACCUUUUUCUGUUAGCAAGUUUCACCUGAUCUACAACAAGCAUAACUGUUUUGAGAAACACAUAUACAAUAAACAUAACCGUAGUGCUAAGUGACUCGAAAAUUAAUUUGGUCCUUAAACCGCUAUAUUCUGAAACACAUGUACAAUAAGCAUUACCAUUUGAACUUAUUCCAACUUCAGUGAUUUCUAAUAUUCUCCAAUGCAUGCAGGACAAGAGUUUACAGAACGUUGUGGCUUCAGCAAUUCGUUUACCAUAUCAUAUGUACAAGCCAAUAAAAGGUCAUUUGUUGCACCAGAAUUUCAUUCCAAAAAUACUAUUUAUGUUGCUUAUUUGAUGUAUUAUAAAUUUCGAUUGUGAUUAUUACUGUUUGUUUCUAAAUUAGUGUUUGCUUAUUUGUUAUGGUAAUUUGGAAAAGUUGUCUCUAGCUACCAAUAUUUGCAUUUCAAUUUAUAAUGCUAAAAGUUCUGUAAUACCAUAGACGUGUAAGAUGAAUGACAUGCUGGAGGAAUGACACGUGUAAUAUUGAUCAUGUGUAACCUAAAUAAUAUUAUGAUACACUAUAAUAAUAUGAUCAUUCACCAUAAGGUCUGAUAUUAAUUCAUAAAAUCUGGUUUUCCCCUAAACGUAGGAAAUCAUAUUUAUCUAGGCAUGCUUAAUAUUUCAUAAAAGAAAAAACAUUUCUUAAAUAAAUGUCCACUCACACCUCCGGCUAGCUCUCCCUUGAGGAGCCUUGUCUACCAAAUAGGUAAGUUCAAGCAACUUCAAGAGAGAAUUUCCUCCACAUUAAGUCUUAACCAUCCACUGGACAGCAGGCAAUUCAAAACCAAAGUAAGCUGCUGAAUACAGCUACAAUAAACAAGGAAUCAGGCUAAGCUAUUGUCUUCAUCAUAAAAUGAUUUUGGCCCCCAUUUUCUAAUUUCGUACCACAUUUUCACAUUCUUUCCAUGAAUUUUAUAAUUCCUAUGCAACAGAGUUCAUUCAUUGCCUAUUCACAACAUUACAAGGUUCUACAGAGUUCAAUCCCACCGUGUUAUAGACAUGCUUCAACUAUCAACCGGGAACGUAAUCGUUAGGGGUUUCAACAACUUCAGAGAUACAACAAUUACGAUAAGUCUCAUCUCGGACAUUCAUACAGAAAAUUGAAUAAAAUUUGAAAUCAAGAAUCAAUCCCAAAAGUGAAAGUUGAAAAUUCGGGAAAAGAACUUACAUUGGCGAACAGCCCACGAGAAGAGGAUCAUUUCUACCUCUUGGGUCGAGCUCCAAUUCUGGCGAUAUUGGCCGGAAGUUGGCCGGAAAACCCUGGGUCACCGUUUCUUAAAUUUGAGGUUGAGGAAAGUCGCCUACGAAUCUAUAGAAACUAACUUGGGGAUUGGAUGAAGGACGGCAAGAGCAUUCUGGAUGUGUAGUUUGAGAGCCUUUGGUGAGCCGUGGACGACAGAGCUGUUGCGUCGGCACUCGGCAGUCGUCGGCUUGCUGUUUAAUGGGGCUCCUGUUGCAGCGCAAAAGAGGAUACGGGAGGAGGAGAGAAGAUGGGUUUCUCCCACUUUUUAGAUCUUAAUUUUUUUCCCUUUUUUUAAUUUUUUUCCCUUUUUAUAUAUCGUUUACACACUUGUGGAAAAACAUUCCGUCUGGAUUUCAGGGCUUCCAAAAUUUGAGAUAUUUGGCAAUGAGAGGAUGUUGUGGUCUAAAAUAUGUGUUCUCGCAUUUAAUUGCCCGAGAACUUUUGAAUCUUCAAGAGGUAAAGAUAUCAAAAUGUCCGGAUAUGAAAACUAUAGUCAGAAUUACAGAGGAAAAUGAAGAAGAGGCGAUAAAAUACAUGAUUUUGUUUCCGAAACUGAACACAUUUGAACUGGUAGACCUGCCUCGUCUCUCAAGUCUUUGUCCAGAGGGAUUUACAUUUCUAUGGUCAUCCGCAAAAAAUAUGCGCGUGGAAAACUGUGAAAAAUUGAAGACAUUGGGUGCCGUAAUUCCACAAAGAAAGAAGUUGGAGAAUAACAUGAAGAAGGAUUCAACAAGUCAUGAUUUCAGCACUUCCCCAACAAGUUCAUCAAAUUGGUGCCCCGCUGGAUGUGGAUGCGCACCAUAUUCAAGACCAAACGCCCACCGCUCCAUUGAAAUAUUGCCACGUCCAGUUAAUUUGGAGGUAAGCUUUUAAAUUAGGUUCAAUUAACCUUUAUAAGUACAACUUUUAAUUAGUAUUGUACUCAUCUUGUUGAUCGUGUUUAAUUUUCUAGGUUACACCAACUAAUCUUGAGGACUCAAAUGAUGAUGAUAAUCUUGAAAAUCUUACUGUAAGUGACUGUAAUUCAAUGGAAGUGAUUUUCCAACUAAAGGGACCGAAGAAUGAAGAAAGUAAUCACUCCAUUGAAGCAUUCAAUAAAUUGAGGUCCUUCCAGUUACAUAAGUUGCCAAGUUUAACGCGUGUUUGGGAGGUGGGUAGUUCACAACCAAUGUUCACAGGAAGCAGUUUUGGAAACUUGAAAUCGUUGCAGGUCGAUUGUUGCAACCAGUGUUCUAAAAAUCGGCCUAGGCGGCCGCCUAGGCGCUAGGCGGUGGGCAACCGCCGGGAUUAACGUAAAAUCGGAAGAAAAAUCGGGACAAGGAUUAGGCGGGUGUCGAGGUGGCCUGAGCGGCCCUUGGGCGGCCUAGGAGGGCAACUGGGUGGCCUAGGCGGUCUGAGAAUUUCAAUUUUUCUAUGUUCGAACUUGAGAAAGGAUGAAUGCUUCUGGUUUUUCUGGGCUUCUGGUGGUCUGUGUUCGCGAAGGAGGAAGAAGAUGAGAGAAUUAGUUUCUCUCUCUUCUUUCCAUACCCACGCACGUGAUGUAUUAAACUUUUUUUUUUAUUUUUUAUUUUUUAUUUUUUGUCCAUUAAAAUGUGGACAGCUAGCCUUGACUUUUCUUAAAGAAUAAAGGUUGUCAGGCUAUUAAUUUUUGUGUCAUCCAUCAAGUGCUAUGGAUUUUUUUUGUAGAUAGCGAUGGAGCACUCAUCUCUUCCUGGACAAAGGGCAGACUAGCUGCCAUCUAUAAAAAAAUUAAUAGCCUGACAAAAAAUUAAUUUUUUUCUCAUUAAAAAAACAUUGAUUGUCAGGUUAUCAAUUCAUAGCAUCAAGUGAUAUGGAUUUUUUGGACUUGUUAGAUAAGCAUUUUAUUAUUCUUUUACUAUCUUAUUCAGAGAUUUCAUAUAAGUAUAAUUUUUUGUAAGUAUCAGUAUACAUUUAUUUACAAGAUAUAUAAGAAAUUUACCUAAAUCCGCCUAGACCGCCUAGGCGCCCGCCUAGACCCCGCCUAACCGCCUAGGCGCUAGGCGCCAGUUCACCGCCCGACUAGCGCCUAGCGUUUUUUAGAACCUUGGUUGCAACCAGUUGAAAUACUUGUUUCUGUCCUCCAUAGUCAAACUUCUCGUGAGUAUAGAGGACAUAGAAGUUAAGAAGUGUGAGCAGAUGGAAGAAAUCGUUGCCGCAGAAGAAGAAACUGAUGAAACAAUUACAUUACCUAAAGUGAAGUCCAUCAAGCUUGCAAGUCUGCCAAAACUCAAGUAUUUUUGUGGUGAAGCUUAUACUUUGAAGUUGCCAUCUUUGGAGUUAUUGAGCGUUAUUAGUGUGCAAGACGUAGGGCCAUUUGAUCCUAAGCAUGUUGACACGCAUAAUCCCCGAUUGCAAGUAAAAACCGCAUUUCGACAGGAAUGGACGGGGACCUCAAUGCCACUCUAAGGAACAUUUAUGACACAAGGUAUGCUUUAAAUUAAUGUUUCUAAUUUGCAGUCACUUUUGUGUCCACCUGGAAGACCGCAUCAUCAAUAUACAACCACUGAACCAACAAAUAUUUUCUCCUAAACAAUUACAAUUACGUCAAUAUAAACUUUUAGAGACUACAGUAAUGCUUCAUGCUGUUUGUUCCAACUCUUUCGAUCCUUGAUGCAUGCGUGGGAUUUCUAAUGUUUUUACGAAGGACUGAAGAAUAGCUAGGUUGAUAAUUUGCAGUAUGUGAGCUAUAUAUGCUCAAUCUUACAUUUCUAUUUAUUCAACCAACAAAUACGUUCUGGUUUCGAGCUACAAGCAUAAUAUGGCUAACACCACCACAAUUUUGACUACAAAUUUAGGGAAAUCAAUAUCAACCGUUCAUAUUUAUAUGUGCAUAUGUUCACACUAAAGUGUAUUUAAGUAAUUUUAUUUUUUAAAACUCAAUUCUAUCUCAAGAAAACAUCUGUCUUUUAUUUCUAAAACAGGAAGGAUAACGAUGACGAAUUGUACAGUGAGGAUGAAAAUGAAGAUGACGAAUUCUCUGGGGAGGAUGAAGAUGACUAACAGAAUUGAUUGAUCAAACACAAAGGUUAGCAUGUUUCCAUCUCCAACUUCUUCUAGGUUUAGUAAAAACUGAUGAAAUUAUCUAUAAAGUACUCGAAAAAUUAUUCUUCCAUGUUUUAUAGUAUAUACAUAAAUGGAUAGUACUUUAAAAAUUGAACAAUAAGGAUUGUCGAACCACAUUCUGCUACCUAAUUCAUUUUUUCGAGGUACCCAAUGCAAGUCGAUCUAUAAUAUGCACUCUAAAAGUACUAACCUUGAGAAGCCAUUGAUAUGAACAAGAUUGAACCAUGAUCAGCAACGAACAAGCAAAGAUCUUCCUCUCUCUCUACACCCCUUAUGCACUCCUAUAUGGGGUGGUGUUUUGUGCUAGAAUAAUGUGUAUAAAAGUGGGAUCUAAGCCUUAUAUUUAUAGGUGAGAGUAUUAGGUUUCUUGCCCAUGAAGAAACCCCUAAUACAGAUCUUUAGCACCUCUAAAAUCCAUGACCUAAUAGGAUAGAUAUUCCCAAAAAUUAUUGCUAUACUUCACCAUAAAUAAUCCGGACUAAUCAGAUAUUACUUCCUUUCUUUUAUCCUUAAUUAAUUAGGACUCCUAAAUAGAUGUAAGCCCAAUAAAAGUCUUACACCCAAUAGCAGUUAAGAUGGAAGAAGCUUUUGAGAUUAGCAUCUGCCUCAAGAAACCUUUAUCAGAUUCCACAAUAAUAUUGGAAUAACCUUUUUCUCUUAGCAUGUCUCACCUGAUCUACAACAAGUAUAACCAUUUUGAGAAACACAUAUACAAUAAACAUAACCGUAGUGCUAAGUGACUUGAAAAUUAAUUUAGUCCUUAAACCGCUAUUUUCUGAAACACAAAUACAAUAAGCAUUACCAUUUCAACUUAUUCCAAUUUCAGUGUUUUCUAAUAUUCUCCAAUGCAUGCAGGACAAGCGUUUACAGAACGUUGUGGCUUCAGCAAUUCGUUUACUAUAUCAUAUGUACAAGUCAAUAAAAGGUCAUUUGUUGCACCAGAAUUUCAUUCCAAAAAUACUAUUUAUGUUGCUUAUUUGAUGUAUUAUAAAUUUCGAUUGUGAUUAUUACUGUUUGUUUCUAAAUUAGUGUUUGCUUAUUUGUUAUGGUAAUUUGGAAAAGUUGUCUCUAGCUACCAAUAUUUGCAUUUCAAUUUAUAAUGCUAAAAGUUCUGUAAUACCAUAGACGUGUAAGAUGAAUGACAUGUGUAAGCUAAAUAAUAUUAUGAUACACUAUAACAAUAUGAUCAUUCACUAUAAGGUCUGAUAUUAAUUCAUAAAAUCUGGUUUUCCCCUAAACGUAACGGAAAUCAUAUUUAUCUAGGCAUGCUUAAUAUUUGAUAAAGAAAAAAACAUUUCUUAAAUAAAUGUCCACUCACACCUCCGGCUAGCUCUCCCUUGAGGAGCCUUGUCUACCAAAUAGGUAAGUUCAAGCAACUUCAAGAGAGAAUUUCCUCCACGUUAAGUCUUAAACAUCCACUGGACAGCAGGCAAUUCAAAACCAAAGUAAGCUGCUGAAUACAACUACAAUAAACAAGGAAUUAGGCUAAGUUAUUGUCUUCAUCAUGACAUGAUUUGGCCCCCAUUUUCUAAUUCCGUACCACAUUUUCACAUUAUUUCCAUAAAAUAAUUUUAUAAUUCCUAUGCAAAAGAGUUCAUUCAUUGCCUAUUUCACAACAAUACAAGGUUCUACAGAGUUCAAUCCCACACCAUGUUAUAGAAAUGCUUCAACUAUCAACCAGGACGGUAAUCGUUAGGGGCUUCAACAACUUCACAGAUACAACAAUUACGAUAAGUCUCAUCUCCGACAUUCAUACAGAAAAUCGAAUAAAAUUCGAAAUCAAGAAUCAAUCCCAAAACUGAAAGUUGAAAAUUUGGAAAAAGAACUUACAUUGGAGAACAGCCCACGAGAAGAGGAUCAUUUCUACCUCUUGGGUCGAGGUCCAAUUCCUGCGAUAUUGGCCGGAAGUUGGCCGGAAAACCCUGGGUCACCGUUUCUUAAAUUAGAAAUUGAGGAAAAUCGCCUACGAAUUUAUAGAAACUAACAGGGAUUGGAUAAAGGACGGCAAGAGCAUUCUGGAUGUGUAGUUUGACAGGCGUUAGUGACCUGUGAACGACGGAGACGUUGUGUCGGCAGUCGUCGGCUCGCUAGGAGAAGAGGGAGAGAGGAUGCAGGAGGGAGGAGAGACAAAAAGAAAAGGAAAAGAAACAAAGAAAUUUAAAAUAGAAAUGAAAAAGAAAGGUAACCGGACUGCAAAGGUAAUCAGCAUACAAAAUUAUCAUACUAUCCUUAAACUUUGUAGCUAUGUGAAAUCUUCAUUUUAAUUCUAAAUUUUCUUAUGCUUGCGCUCACAGGUUCUUAUUAGAGCAGUUCCACCGGAGGUGGAAUAGCCCAGUACCCAGUCAAAAAAUCAGGUUAGCACCCUGUUAAUUCACUCCAGCCCGUGAAAUCGACUAGCACCCAGCCUAAGCCAGUCUACGGGCCGGCCUAAAAUCGACAGACCUUGGGACCGACCUAUCUGACGUCAGCGUGGCGUCGGAGGGCAUAUGACGUCAGAGAAGGAGUUGUUGUGGAGGCUGAGGAGCAGAGCUGGUUGAGGCGGGAGAGGAUGUCGAGAGGGAAGGAACCAUGGAGGGAGAACGACGGAAGGACAAAGCGACAGCGUCGGAGGUGUGGAGAUGCAGGAGGACGAAUCGACGGUGUUGAAGGACAGGAGGUGUGGAGACGCUGUAGAGGAGCUAGUUGUUGAGAUGUGGAGAUGCAGGAGGUGAGGAGAUGCAGGAGAUGUAGGAAGUGCAGGGGUGGAUGGCGUGCAGAAAUGGAAGGGAAAGGAGGUGUGGAAGAUGAGAAAAUAAUAAUAAUUUUUUUUUAUAAAGUUAGAAAUUAAAAAUAAAAAUAUUAUUUUUUAUUAUUUUAUAAUAAAAAAUAAUAAUUUUUUAAUAAAAUUGACUAGGCUAUUUUUUUUAGGGAUAGAGAUGCAUUGGCCUAUUGCUGUUCAUUAUGGUUUAUCACUGUUCACUUGAGUGGAUAAAUGCACUGGAUGCUGGCGUAAAGUCUUUAGGGGUGGACUUGCUCUUAUGCGCACUACGAAAAGAUAUUAUGUGAGUUUUCGUUGAGAAUUUUUUUGAUGGAGGCAUCCAUGAUUUGCAAGGCCCACCAUGGCAAAGCUAGGUAUCGGCCUGACAUGUGAAGACACCAUCGCGGAGAAGAAUCUGGAAAGUUCAAUCCUUGUAUUUUUCUUAUAUAAUGGUGUCGUUUUAGUGAACUGAAUGUUUCGAUUCCAACAUCUAAAAUACUACAAUUGGAAUUUUUACAUACUACAAUUGGAUUGUAUCUUAAAAUUCUGAAGUUUUGGAUUGAAUUACCACUACCAAAAAUGUGAGCAUUGGUCACAAUCAUGCUGCUUUGUGUUGGAUUUCGUUAGAGAUCAUAAUUAAUCAAUCACCCAUAUUGUGUCUCCCUCCAAAAGCUCAAACUGAAACCUAAACUCCCUCGUCGACCAAAAAAAAAAAAACAAUCCUUGAACUCCCUAGCAAAUCAGAGCCCAAUUUGACAACCAAGAUCUUCAUCGUUCGAGCAUCAAUGUUCUCUUAAAUUUGCUGCGAGCAACCUACCAUGAAAUCUCCUUCAUGGACAUCUCAUAAAAUUAGAAUGGUACAAAGAAGAGUAGUGUCACUCCUAAGCUAGGAUUACACGUUUGAAUCGCAAAAUAGUUCCUCCUCCACUCUUUGAUUCUCUCUUUCACCGGCUAACAAUAUUUUACAUUACCAUCUUUUGCUCUAUUUGACUGAAGGACAAAUUUUGAUUGUCUAAAUAUUAUAUUAAACUACAAAUAAUAUUGAUAUUACUUUAGUCUAAAGAAGGCUUUUCAAUUGCAUUGUACCAAUGAAUAGUGUUUUGAACCACAUUUCAGUUUAUUUACAAGACUGCCACUGGGACGCUUUUAGCCAACUUUUGCUUUAUUUACAAAAAUGCCACUCAGGCUUAAGACUCGAUUUUCAGCCGCUGCAUCUCAGGUUUUUACUAGGGGAAAGAGAGGGGAGGGGGACAGAACGAGCAGAGAGAGAGAGCCUGCGGCUUGCAGAAUUACGAUGAUAGAAGAAGAAGCUCAAAAGUUUGAUACGCCAAGUCGAAGGAACCCUAAAAACCAGAGAAGAAGAAGAAGCUCAGAAAUCGGGUGAGGAUGUUGACAAAUCAGCAAGCCCAGUUUUAGGCGACUCUGCAAAACCAACAACCUAACCUCCGACGAACGAUGUUAGAGGGGAUUCGUCAGAUUCGAGUCGAACCGAGGCCGUCGUCGACUAAGAGAACAUUAUCGAUCCCGACUUUUGGAUCGACUCCCUUUACCUGCUCCCUGUCUGUUACUCCUGCUCCGUCUCUCUUCUUGCAAGUUCGCUCGGGUUCUUCUCCCCAGUUAUUUCAAGCACAAAAAAUUCUCCAGUUUCAUUCGUCAGCUCAUACAUACGUAAGCUCUUCGCCUCUUAAUAUUUUGAUUUAGGUUAAUUGUUAAAUUCUUGAAAAAAAUUGAAAGCAUUGUUCAUUUUUGUCCCAAAUUGGUUUGGUUCUGGUUUGGAAACAGAAAUUAAAACAUAUACUCCUUCAUCUACGAUUCACUUAUUCCAUUCCAGAUAUUUCUCCAUUUCUCUCUUAAUUUCUUACUUUUUGAUUCAAGCGUUUAAUUUUUUAUUAAUUAAAUUACAAAUAAGUAUUAUUGACUUUCAUUUGGUACCAAUCAAUCAAGUGAGAGAUGAGUUGUUUGAAUGUUUGAUUUUACUUGAAUCAGAGUCUCCAAGGAGGAGAAAGAGAAGGAUCCGAAUGAUUUAGGGUUUAGGUCUUAGCGUGUGAGCAGGCGUAUUGAUGACUGUAAUCAAGGUAUCACUUAAGCUCUAAUUGUGACUAGUAAAUUUUGAAUGACUGCUGGUUACUGUUAAAACCCCAAAUGUAUGCAAUCCCACGUUCCAAUUUGUUGUGUGAAGAUGCGGACCACAAUUGCUUCCUCUCAGCACAAUUAGUUUCCACGAUUACUCUUAAACCCUAAUUGUCUCUCCUCUAUCUAAAAUCCAUUUUUCGAUUUUUGAAUACGGUAAAUGGAUAUUGUUUCUAUGUGCAGGUGUUACUCGGAGAAGUUUGAAAGGCCCUGGGACAAUGAGGAUUGCAUUUCAGAGUAGCAGAAAUACAAGGCCACCCUCUCUUUGUGUAUCCAAUCUUACCCUUCUCCUAAAUUUUUAUCAAACUAUAGGAUUUAUUUUGCUGAUUUUAUUUUUUGCGAUUUGAGUUUUUAUCUCCUGCUUAUUUUUUAUUUUUUUGCCGAGGUAUUACUUUUCCUUUGACUAGAAAUUUUAGUGUUUUUAAAGUAUAAUGUUAUCAAAUUCUAAUUUUCUAAUUUUCUGAUUUUGGCCUUUUGCAGGGAGUGCUAAGAUACUAAAUUUUUGGGAUUUUUUAUCUUUGCAUGAUUUUUGGUCUUUGAAAUGGGUAUGUGCUGUUUUUAACGUUUUGGUUCUCAAAUGUUUCGUUCUUGAUUUCUGUUUUCUGCCUCCUUCUAGGUUGCUUCGUGAUUUUCAUUUUCCAUUGUUGGCUUAUGGAAUUUAUAAAAAUGGUUGUAGUUUUGUGACCAAAUCCCAAUAAGAGUAUGCCGAAACACAGAUUAGCAUGUAGUGAACAUACGUUGAAUUAGAACAAAAUUUAAUAUAUAAGUGAAGGCAUGUGCAGUGAACAGACAUUGAAUUUAAAAUUGAUAGGGUAGUUAAGCUUCUGCCUUAGUUAUUCUUUGUCACUCACUUUUGGAAUUUAAUUCAUUCAUUUCAAAGUCACUCAUGUACUCUGUCUUACUUUAUUCACUCAUGUUUAGUAUGCACCAUUGAAUUUUUUUGUCAUAUAUUAUUCACUCAUCUACUACACUAAUGUUGAGAUUUGGGUAUCAUUUGUUUUCUCAUAUGUCAUGUUUUUAAGCCAAAUCUAAUAUAUAAAUGGAUCCAAAAACUCCUGAUGUAGCACAUUUAAUUUGUUCAAAUAUUGAUUCUUUUCCCUCUAUUCACUUCAGUUGUCGUGUUCUUCUUCGUUCUUUUUUCAACGGCAAAGCUGGACGAUCCAUGGAGCACAUGUUGUUGAGCCUUUUGCCACUACUGGUCUGGUCCAAUUCGAAGGAGUUGUUGGAGUACAAUCUUUAGGCCCUUUGGAGGAGCUGAAAAACCAGUCUCGACUCUGCUGACCUAGACAUAUUCCGAGAUAUGCUCCAGCUCCAUAACGAAUCGGACAUCAGCCCGGUUCACUACUCUCACUCUUUCCUGCUUUCAUUCUCAAUUUUUUUUUGGAAUUUUGCGCUGAAUUUCAUUUGGGUAAUUUGUGAAGUUUUGUUUUUUUUUCUUCUUUUGUUAGGCAGCUUUUGGUGUGCCUGCGAAUGUUGAUUCGGCGAUGCGUUUACAAUAACGUCAAGAGGGAAAAGAUUCAAAAGAUGUUCCCAGUGUAGCUAUUUUAUAAUUGAUGAGGCUGUUGGUGCUUUUGAUGCGGAAGUUUCAGCGAGAAUGACGGCGAGAUGCACACAAGGAUCAGGUUAGAGAUCUGUGUUGUUUGACAUUUCUGUGUAAACAUUUUUGAGUAUCAAAUAUAUCUCAAAUUUAGGGUGUCGGUUAUGGGCUACUAAAGCGGAAAGUUCUUUUGGCUCAUACAUUAAAGCGGCAUGUGCUUUUGGCUCAUACAUUUAAUUUGUUCAAAUAUUGAUUCUUUUCCCUCUAUUCACUUCAGUUGUCGUGUUCUUCUUCGUUCUUUUUUCAACGGCAAAGCUGGACGAUCCAUGGAGCACAUGUUGUUGAGCCUUUUGCCACUACUGGUCUGGUCCAAUUCGAAGGAGUUGUUGGAGUACAAUCUUUAGGCCCUUUGGAGGAGCUGAAAAACCAGUCUCGACUCUGCUGACCUAGACAUAUUCCGAGAUAUGCUCCAGCUCCAUAACGAAUCGGACAUCAGCCCGGUUCACUACUCUCACUCUUUCCUGCUUUCAUUCUCAAUUUUUUUUUGGAAUUUUGCGCUGAAUUUCAUUUGGGUAAUUUGUGAAGUUUUGUUUUUUUUUUCUUCUUUUGUUAGGCAGCUUUUGGUGUGCCUGCGAAUGUUGAUUCGGCGAUGCGUUUACAAUAACGUCAAGAGGGAAAAGAUUCAAAAGAUGUUCCCAGUGUAGCUAUUUUAUAAUUGAUGAGGCUGUUGGUGCUUUUGAUGCGGAAGUUUCAGCGAGAAUGACGGCGAGAUGCACACAAGGAUCAGGUUAGAGAUCUGUGUUGUUUGACAUUUCUGUGUAAACAUUUUUGAGUAUCAAAUAUAUCUCAAAUUUAGGGUGUCGGUUAUGGGCUACUAAAGCGGAAAGUUCUUUUGGCUCAUACAUUAAAGCGGCAUGUGCUUUUGGCUCAUUUCUUUACAAAAGUUGAAUAUUUGAAUCUGCUUAUUUAUGUUUUGAAAUGAGUGUGUUUGUUAUUCAUGUUUUGGGAAUGUUAAAUCUUUUUAAUUUUUUCGUUCCAGGACGAAAAUAUUUAACGAAAUGAAUUCUGACUAUAAAGUUAAUUGAAGCUCUGAAAAAUUUUGUGGUCGAAAAGGAUGACAGAUUACUAUAGUUUUUUUUCCUUCCUAUCCAAAAACUACCUUUGAUUUUCUUGAUUGUGCGUAUAUUUAAUAUUUGCUAUUAUAAUCGUUCCCAGUAUAAUAGCAGAACCUACUAGACGAGCAGGACCAAGUACCCGACCCUCUACAACAAAAUCAGCCUGCUCAGAAACCCUAGCUUGAAUGCGGUUCCAGAGCUCGACGACUGGGUCUACAAUGGCAACAAAGUCCGAGUCACCGAGCUUCAGCGCAUCAUUCACGACCUCCGAAAGUGGAAACGCUUCUCCCAAGCCCUCCAGGUUUCCAUCUUUCUUUCUUACCUUGCAAUUUGUGUUAUCCCCUGUUUGGUUGCUCAGAAAAUGAAAGAAAAUUGAAAGAAGAAUCAAAGUAAUUAAAUUUUAGUUAAAGAAAGUGAGUGAAUGAGGGAAUUAGGAUUUUUGUUAGUUUAUGUGUUUGUUUGUAUCAUAAGUAAUCGGAAUUUCCUCUGCUUUCAUAAUAAUGUGUUUUAGGUUGCAGAUUUCAGAAUGGAUGAAUCAGAAGGGGAUAUGCAUAUUUUCGCCGGUUGAGCAUGUCGUGCAACUGGAUUUGAUUGGGAAGGUAGAAUUUUGCACGAAUUGCUGUCAAAUAAAGCCAGUUUGAGCCUAUGGGUCGAAUCCUAUUGGACAUUGUUGCAUCAUGGAGCAUGUGAUUGUUGGGAAGUUUAAGCUGGGGAGGAAGAUUGGGAGUGGGUCUUUCAAAGAACUCUAUUUAGGUAUGGUAAUCAGUGCUUGAUAUCCUUUUUUCCUUAGAAAAUUAUUCAUUGUGUUAAUUUAAUGUGUUUUGUAAUGAAAUUGCUCUUCUGGUGUUAGGUGUAAAUGUACAUGGUGGGGAGGAGGUUGCUGUUAAGCUGGUAUGUGAUCGAUCGUCAAAUCUUAUAUUUAGUUCUGAUGUUUGGUUUAUGGCUAAAUGUUUGCAAGCAUUGUAUAGUUUUGUGCCUGAUUGUAAAUGGGCGGCUUCAUUAAUGUACUAGGGUAUGUUGAGUGUGAGCUUCUGGUAAUUCAUUAUGAUUUCAUGUGUGCUUCCAUAUAUAUUGAAAUUGUCCAGUUUGCUCAUGGAUGUUUCUGUAUGAUUUUGCAUGUCUCCCUUGAUAAAAGCUUGAGCAAAAUAUGCUUAUGAAAUCGAUAUGUGGUUUAGCUUUAUAAUUGUGCCUGCAUCUGUACUGCUUAUUUGCUACCCAUCUAAACAUAUAACUUUAUAUGAGAUAGCCCCCCAUUUGAAAAUGAGUGUUUUUAUGCGAUGUUUAUAUUUGUAGGCACUGGAAUUAGUGUCUUUUGUUUUUAUUUUGAUCUCAGUUACUCAAAACUGAAUUUUUUGUUGGUGUGAAUAUAUAUGUCAACAUUUAAUAUCAGCAUUUGGAGUGAAUCAAAUUCAUUUUAAAUUUUCUUAAAUUUAUUGAUUAUCAGAUGACAUAGUUAACAACUUCUGUGAUUUUAAAACACUUGGAGGUGAGAUUUACAUAAUUAAAUAGUCAAUUGAAAAAUUGAAAUGAGAUGUUAGUUUUACCUGACUGAUUUCUUUGUUGGGUUUAUUACUGCUCAAUGUUAAAACCCAAAAAUGGUUUUUUGGGCAAGUGGUGAUUGGCCCGCCUGUGUCAGGAAAGACCACUUACUGCAAUGGCAUGUCUGAGUAUAUCUAGCUCAUCCGAAGGUAAAAAAUUUCACUCUGAAUUCUGGGUUUUCAAGUUUUUCCAUGGCUUCAAUUUUGGUUUUUGAAUACAUCUGAAAUAUUUACAGUGGCAAUUUGUUGUUUUGGUGUGCAGGAAAGUUUUUGUGGUAAAUUUGGAUCAUGCAGCCGAUGCAUUGCCGUAUCCUUUUCGGGGUUUUAUUUUUUUCAUGUUUAUUGUUCGUAAUUUGUAGUGUUGCACUGCAUUCCAAUGUCGAAUAUUGAGGGUAAUAAAGUAGAGCUACUGGUUCAUCUUUCAUUUGAUCUUCUACUAAUUUCGAUUGAAUUCCACAAAUUUUUUUUAUUUGCUUAGUUUAAUUUGUUGUUGUUCAAUUGUUAUGAAGAUCUGUGAAUGUGUAUGAAUUAUUGGUUCUGAUUUUUGUUGAACAAUGUGAAGUUGCUUGGUGUUUUAAGUUCUUGAUCCAAAGAAAGUUGCGUUAUUUCGUAAUGACAUUGCCGUUUGUAGUGGUUGUUUGGAUUACUGUGUCAUUUUAUUUAUGCAACACUUAUAUGAUACCUUUCUUAUUGGCUGUAUGUAAAUCAUCAAUAUCUUAUGGAUUAAUAUGCUUACCAUUUCGUAUACAUAUGUUUUUUAUUCAUGUUAAAACUUUUUGUAUUAUUUUUGUGUUUGUCAUUGGCAGGUGAAUUUGUAAACAUUCAUAGUUAUCCAUAGGACCUUGAGGGAGUAUGCAAUUAGUAUUCAUAUAGAUGGUUAUUUGUGUUAACGAUGAAAGCAUAUGGUUUAGGUUUGUCCUCAAAAUUUAUGCUUAGUUGUAAUAAUGCUUUUGCUUAGUUGUUCAUGUAAAAAUGGAACAAUUUUUUUUUGUACAUAUGUCAUUUUAUAUUCGUUUAAUGUUUGAACUUAUGCUUAUGAACUUGGUUAUUGGUAGGGCUCUUCUAGAGGCAGUGUUGGCGUGUAGAUGAUGUGGAAGUAGGCGAUGAGGAGGAAAUGACAAAGGUGGAGGACCAAAAGGUCUUAUAGAAGAAGAAGAAGCUCAGAAGUCUGAUACACCAAACAACUCCAUCUGAAAGAGGAAGAAUCCAAGGGUAAACCCCUUCAAACUCUUCGAUUAUGGUGUUCUUUAGUCGAUUGCAAGACUAGAACUUGAAAAACUAACACAUGCAUAUAAUUUUUUUAUGAAGGAACUGCAGUCCAGUGGUUGUAUAAAACAAAAGGACAACGCAUGCUCUCUCUCUCAUAGUAGCUCUGUGUUCCUCUCCCCCCAAACCUAAUGGCUUCAUCCCAAUUCGGAGCCUGCUCGAAUCGGGACUUCUUGGAGAUUCGGAUCUCCAGGUGAGAUAAUUUUCCCCAAAUUGUAUUCAAUCUAUGUUGCUUCAUUUCAUUUUCCAUUUUAAUUUGGAAUUGUUGAUAUUUUAGGCGGGUAUUGCAUGUAUAACCACAACAAUUUUUGUGUUGGAUUGGGGUCAAAUUGUCCAGCUUUAUUAGCUAUUUGGUCGCCUUUGUAUUUGUAAUCUGAAUAAUAUGAAUUAGGGUUUUUCUGUUAGUGUCCAAUUGGUCAAGAAAGGAUGCUUCUUUUUUGUUAUCAUGCAUAUUUAAGCUGUAAACAUCUGAAAAACUGCUUAAUUGAAGUGAUAUUUCCAGUUUUUUAGCUCAGUUUCAGGUUUUGACCUUUGAAUUUGUUUACAUGUAUCCCAGCUGAAGCUAUGUACAUCGUAGUUUAAGGGGAUUUUGCUCAAAAUCUGGAGAGCUCUCUCGCUUUGCUCUCUAUGUAAACCCGAGAGAAAUUCCAUGGAAACAUCACGCCUGCAAACGAAGUUGCAGGCCUACACACAAGCAAACUCCAUCUGAAAGCCAAAGAAUCCAAAGGUAAAUCUCUUCAGCUUUCUUAGCUAUUUGGUCCUGUGUAUUUGUAAUCCGAAUAAUAUGAAUUAGGGUUUUUCUGUUAGUGUCCAAUUAGUGAAGAAAUGAUGCUUCUUUUUGUUAUCAUGCAUAUUUAAGCUGUAAACAUCUGAAAAAGCUGCUUAAUUGAAGUGAGAUUUCCAGUUUUUGAGCUCAAUUUCAUUUCUUAUAGACAAUUUUUUUUCAAGAUUUCUGGGUUUCUUUUUGCUGCUUCUUUGUUAAAUUACUCAUCUGGAAGUUAAAUUUUGUUCAAAUACCAAGUAUUGUUCUUCAAUUAAAGAUUUAUGGGUUUUUUUAUUGCUUCUUUUCUGUUAAAUUACUCAUCUAGAAGUUAAUUUUGUUCAAAAACUUACUGUUCUUCAAUUAAUCUUACAAGAAAGCAUAUGAGAAUGUGGCACAUUAGGUGUUCGAUGAAAUGUGUCUGAGAAUCUGUCAGUAUGAUAUAUUAUAAUUCUGAAUCUCCUCUUCAGCUCUGGCCACAGGUGCGCGAAGGCGACAUGAUCCUGGUCGACAGUUCGGAGCUCUGGCGAUUCUGACUAAGAAAGAGGUCAAUAACAACAAGGUAAUGGAAUUCAAUGUUUUGUGUUUGUUAUAGAGGCAUAUUUGCAACAGUAUAUCAGAUAAUAAUUCUAGAUAGUAUGUCCAGAUGGCAUAGAUUGUGUUUCAUGAUGCAUAUGGCUGAAGCGGUUUUGGCUACUUUUUUUAUUGCUCAUUAAAUUUUUUGCUGCCUUUGGCUGGUACAAAUAUAUAUAAGAAGUACUAUCCUUUUAUCAACUUUUACCAAGUCAAAUUUAGGAUCCAUUUGUACUCAUGCGCCAUUGGGGUAAAGUGCAUGUGCUUUUUUUUUCUGUUGUAUAUUUUCAUCUAGGGGAUAACGUUUUGUUGUUUGUUGGAAGGAAUAUUAAAACACAUCCACACCCUAUUUUGUCAUUGUUCUAAAGUAUCUCAUGCUGGUUUUAGAAUUCUCCCGACUUUCUAACUCAAAUAUGUGCCAAGAGAACCCAACUAAAGUGGUUCGCCGCUCCAUGUAUGAAGUAUUAGUGAAUUAUUUGUAAUUUUACAUAACCAAAAGAAAAUUUUUGCGUUGUAUGCAUACAUAUUGAAAUUUAUGUUAUAAAUUUUUUGAAAAGAAACAGAUGUAAAUUAGAAUCAUACUAAUAUAGGUAUGCUGUAUACAUAACUUUGAUAAUACCAUAAGUUCAGAAUUAAUCUUUAGUGUCAUUAAAAAAUUUAUGUAAAUUUAUAUACAUAAAUUUGAUAGCACCAUAAACUUGGGGUAUUGUUAUAUUUAGUACAGGCAAUAUGAUGCCGUUCAGGUGUUUUUAACUAAUAUCUGCAGUUUUUCAAUUCAUCUGGGGUAUUUGUGAUUUGAACGACACUAAAAAAUUUUAUGGGUUAUAGGAACUGCAGGUUAAAAAAAUGGGUCAAAUUCAGAGCUGCAUUCGUCUUCCCUCAAAAUAAGAAGAAAAUGCUUCCUCAACUACAUAUUUUGCAACCUCAGGUAUAUUUGUGUUCUAAAGGCUUUUACUUCCUCCGGUUUCUUCAGAGCUAUUAUUUUACCCAUAUAUGAUUUGUAAAGUGGAAGAUUGGAUUUCAUAUGUCUGAGUAUUUAGGGUUUUGCACAAUGCAAACUUGAGCUUUUGAUCCAAAUGGCUAGAACAGUGUACUCGACCAAUUUCAUAUCCUCUUGGGCUAAUGAGAGUAUAUUACUUGCCACUGGGGAAUUCACUUCAUAUAAGCCAUAGAGAGAGAGAGAGAGAGAGAGAGUCACAUUUUUGUUUUUUUUUUUUUGGAUUUGGUAACUGAAAUUUUAUAUGUGUGAACUACAUGUUUCUUCUGUUUCUUAAGGAAACAGAAAUUUUUUGGAAACCAUCUCUUUCUAAUCAAAGACAUUGUGCAAUGUGUUUAUAUGCCAACUCACUUGAAUGUAUAUAAAAGCAAAACAGCUUCACUUAUUGACCUCAAUUCACUCAUGUAUCCCUCUGUUUGUUCACGAUUGUGUUGAAUUUAUUCAAUUUAAAUAUAUUUUAUUCAUUUGAUUAUACCUGAAACAACAGGUUCCCGCAACAACGUGCGGGCAUAUUUUCUCGUUAUAUAUAUUACAAUGUGACUGGAAUUGUAGUACCCAACAUUUUGUUGUCCAUGAAGUGGCCAACUCGCCCUCUCUGAUAUUCUUUAGUCCGGUCCAUUUUGAGUUUAACCAAACUCAUUCUUUUAUAAGCAAUGUAUUGUGGGCAUCGUUGGAGCACGAGACAUUAUUUUAUAAUUCCUCUUUGGUUGAGCUAUUAAUGUCAUUGUUUAACAAUUUAGUGAUAUUUAUCUUUACUUGUAGAUGAGAGGUUUCAGGUUCGAAUCUCGGGAGUGAUGAUUUGUUGUAAAUAUACCAUAAAAGAAGAAGAAAAAAAAAAGCAAAUCAUCAUUUACCACAGUAGUAGAAAGGUGUUGAGCCCUUGUAUAUGAUGGCGUGAGUUUGAACGUAGUUGGUAACUAAUCUAACAUGUAAUCUAACAAAAUUUAUCAUUUGAUAAAAAAAAAUAUAAUACAAAAACACGAAAAUGCCCUUAAAGUCCAAAGUGCCCCCCUCUGCCCUGCCGCUUCCUGCAAGUUCUUUCCUCGCCCCUAUUUCCCUCACUUUCUCCCUAUCAGACGUUCGAAGACUCAAAACUGUUUUUAACUCUCUCCCUCUCUCUCACUCUCUCCUUCUCACUCUUAAAUGUCGCCCUUUCUCACUCAUACGCACGCUCAAUGAUCUCUGAAGCACCAAUUGCUCUUCGCUUUGGCUCUCUGCAUCUCACCAGAGGUAAAAUGCCCCAAAUUUAUUUAUUUAUUUUUUUACUUUUUCCUCUAAAUUUAAUUCAAUGAAUUUUUUGUGUACCCUUGCAGUAAUACAGGAAGAUUUUUGUAGUAUUUCUACUUGCUGGAUGAUACUGAAAUAAUUAUUGGGAGUUUGAAGAAUUUCUGGUUUGUAUGAUAUAUUUGCUAAAAGACCCAAAAUUUUGAAGCAGAGCGGCGGUAUUUGAUAAGAAAAUCAUCUGAUGAGUCAAUGGAGUCGUCAUCGCCUCCAAAGGAGAACGAAAAAAGCUCGAAACAAGCUUGCGUAGAAAUCAACUUGGAAGAUCUUGCUGUUGAUCCCGGGCUGCGCACUCGAAUUUGGGAUUAGCAUCCCAGUUCAAGUUCGAGAGUAAGUUCGAAGAGCAUAUAUACAAAAGGGUCCUUUUCAGAGUCGAGACCAUGACUUCCCCAGCAAGAAUACUAGUGAGGGACCGAGAAAGUUUAUAUCUGCUUGGUUUAUGAUUUUCCGACUUGGUUGGUAUUGUCUAUGUUGUUAUCUGUUUAAGCUAAAUACAGGAGAGCAAGCCGGCGGUGAUUGCUUGGUUAGUAAAGGGUUUUCGAAUUGGAAGAAGGAAAGGUUGCAGGGUCAUGUUGGAGGACGGAAUAGCGGCCUCAACCAAGCUUGGAGAACCUGUGAUGCUUUAUUAAAGCAACACCAAGCAUGAAUAUGAAGGUUCAAACAACGAAGGAGUUUUUCUUGGACUCUGGAACUUCCACUGUGGUCGUCAUGAGGAGUUAAAAGUUAUCACAUUGAGAAAUUCUCCCUUAAGUCUGAAGUUGACUUCACCUGAUACUCAGAAGGACAUCAUAACUACUUUUUCAGUGAAAUUAUCAAUGCAAUCGUUAAAGAUAUUGGUAGUUCGUACUUUUCCAUUCUUAUCGAUGAGCUUCAUGACAUGUCUUCAAUGAAGCAAUUGGCUAUUGUAAUACGUUUUGUGGAUAAAGGUCAACUGAUCGAGCCUUUUUUUUAUGUGUUGUACAAGCCACUGAUAAUACUGCUGACUCACUUAAGGUGGCUAUUGAUGAUUUCUUUUCUACCCAUGGAUUAAGCAUGUCAAAGCUAGGGGCAAGGUUAUGGUGGGACUAGUAAUAUGAUUGGUGAGUUGAAUAGUAUUAAGACACUUAUAAUGAAGGAGAAUGAGUGCAUUUUACGUUCGUUACUUUGCUCACGGCAGCGAGAGACACGAAAUGCCCACGCCCUCACGAAAGUACUGUCGGCGUUCUCCAACAAGGACGUAGUCGUCUUGCUUGAGGACGAGCGAGUGCUCCAGAUAACUGUUCGCCAUCCGAACCACCCACAAGAAAGGCUGCUUGCUGUUGGCCAGACCCCAUGCCAUUGCAGCUAGUUUUUUACUGUCCAUGAAUGCUGUGCUUCCUAGGCUUACAUAGAUGACAGAGUUGUGUGCUUGUUUAACGAGCCAUGACGUACAACUCUGGUCCUCUUUCAACAAGCUUGUAGACGGGGAUGGAACAGUUUUGUGCAGAGGACCGGUAGGAAAUAACGGAAUUUGGUACUCUUUUUGAAGCCGUGCCAGCGAUGAUUGUUCAAGGCCGUCCCGGUGUUCCAAAUGACGGCUGAAGAUGACCUUUGAAUCGUGUGCUUUCACUAGUAGUUGCAGUAAGCCGUCCAAAACUCUGCCAUCUUAAUGGUUGGAGUCCUGGUGCCAGUUCCAGCAUUAUAGAAUCUGUACACAGAAUGGUCAAGCAUCAGAGAUCUUAAGGUUAGUGCAGACAGUUGCAAAAGUUAUAAAAAUCAUAGAGUCAUCGAGUCUUUUUCCCUUAAAAAGGUUAAAAUCAAUCAAUUAAUUGAUCAAUUUGAUGCAUUUACAUCUCAUAGUUAUUGUGUCAAGACGGAAUUCGAAAAAUUUGAGAUGUCUGAUUGUUACCUUGAAUUGAAAAGUAACCAUCUUAUAGGAAUUACUUGGUAAGUCAUCGUGUUUGCUGCACUGCUAGUAGUCAAUAUAAUGCUAGGCAACCCUAGAUGAUUAGCCACCUCUACUGUACUCAUCAUAGAUGAUGCAUGAAAUCUUGGAGUGGGGACUUGCAGUUAGACAUUAAAGCCUAAUAUUGCAGCAAUAAAAUUGUGGGACGAGAUAUUUUUCUCUCAUAAGCCAUCGGAUAUCUCUAAGAAAUCGAAAUCAGGGUAGUUCGAAGGAAAGUUGAAGUUGGUGUGAGGGACUGUGAUGUAGAAGCCCUCGGAGUGAAAGAUAGCGCCCAGUUGAAGUAUUGGAGUUAUGUUCCCUUGGAAUGGGCAUGGAGCCAGCACUAAUCUGUGGCUUGUACGUUGUGUUUCCAUUGCCCUUAAGAUUUGUGUAGCUAAAAGGAGUACUUCACAUGGUGGACAUUAUGAAGGCUUAUGAUAUUCUGGAUUGGGAAUUUCUUUUAGACACUCUUUCAGAUUUCCAACUUCUAUGAUUAAUUGAAUUUGUUGUUGUGUGAAUAGUACUAAGUUUUUAGUUUCAGUUAACGGCAAGCUAGCGAGUUUUUUCUCCUAGUAAAAGGGGGCAAAGGCAAGGGGACGCUCUAGUUGCUACAACAUCCUAGUUUGCAAAUCGUUUGAAACAGAAAUCAAAACCGUUUGAAACCAAAUUGAACCGCAAUCAAAUGGUUUGGUUUUAUCUUGAUUGGUUUAAGCUUCAAAUUCACACCGAACCGAACUGGCAAAAAAUUCAGUUUCACUUUAAAACCGCACAGAACCAAACCGUGUCCAUCCCUGGUCUGCAUUGGAGGAAAACUGGGGAAAACCUCCCGGUAACCUCAACUCUGAUGGAGAAAAUGUAUUGGAGAUUGAAGAUUGUGAAUUUUUGUUUUUGUUGUUCUCCAUAAGAUUUCCAUUCAAAAUUUCUAUACGAUUUUUUGCCUUCUCUUGUAAUUUCACUAUGAUUACAUACCAUAAUUGAAUAGUACAAAUUAGUCCCGCCUGUUGCCUUGUGGGCUUCAAGUCCUUGGUGACCCUCCGACAGCCAAGGAAACGACAACCCACUUCUGAGAUCGGAAGCUAGCGUAUGGAGACGGCGUGUCGGAGAUUGUCUUGACGGUGGAUUCGAGCUGUGGCAUCUGAAUCUUCUUGAAACCGGUACCUGGCUGACUUGCAGAGCCACCAUCGCAAAGAAGAAGAAUCCGAAAAGCCCAAACCUUAUCUUUUUCUCCUAUAACGAUGUCGUUUUAGUGAAUUGCUUUUACGUUCUCAAACGUCCAUGUCAAAAUUCAAUUAAACCCAACAAUAUUCAUCACAAUUUACAUCAUUUCAUGGUAGAAACGUUGCAAUUAAAAUUGUGCAUAUUAUUGUAUAAAAAUAUCUCGAAAAAAAUUUAUUCUUUUGUUUUUGGUCAAAGAACUAAUUUCAUUAAAGAUAAAACAAAUUAAAGUAUCGUUUGCUAAAAACACACUAAAGUAAAAGUGCAGUCUUUUACAAAAGUAAAGUAAGGAAACAAGCCCCAAAAGUAAGGUAAAAUUUAUUCAUUUUGAUGUCGUUUAGUCAUGCAAAUUAAAUGAAUAUUUUUAAAAUAGUGGUGUUAUCAACACUUUUUUUUUUAGAAAAAUUAAUGAAAAAUGUUUGAAAACUUGAGUUUUUACGAAAAUGACAAAAUAAAGGGUAAAGUAAAUAGUACCAGAAUUGACUUUUUAGUGUAAAAAUAUAAUUUUUCGUUAAAGUGAAUAGUAUCAUGAGUUUUUGUUAAAGUUUUUUUUUUUUUACUUUAACACAUCUUUACUAAUUUCUAUCCUUUAAAAUAAUGUUUUUUUUUUGGGGGAAAACUUAAAAUAGUGUUUUUUAGCCAAAUUAGAACUGCAUAAGUAAACCUAAUACAUCAAAUUAACAAUGCAAUUGCUAUAACUUUACUUUUUGCAUAUCUCAAAACAUUCAACGCACACAUUAAAAUCCCACGUGACUCACUCAUAAGGCGAGGUUGAGAAGACUCGCUAGACACGUAGCUUGCCACUUCAAGAGUAAUUGCAAUGUUUGAGUCCCACUAAAAUAAAAUAAACAAUAAAACUCGAAAUUAAAAUUAAAUUUCUCCCUAUUCCAACCUUCUCUCUCCGAUAAAAUGCAAAUGCCUUUAACUUAUCAUUCUAAUUGCACAAUGUAAAAGAUAAUAUCGAAUGUAAAGAUUUACAUUUUUUUACAGUGCGAUAUUAUACACUAGUUUAAUUAUAUAGAGCAUCCAAUUCGACAUUACAUGUGAUAUUAAGUCUGAUUCUACAGAAGAAAAAUCUCACAGCGGGACAAAUUUUUAAAAGCCACAGAUACUUUAAAUAAACAAUGAAGUCUUUAUGUAUUGUGUGAUGUAUUAGUGGUGGUUUUUAUCAUUCAAGCAAUAAUGAUCCACUAGCCUCCAUGCGCGCUCAUGCACGUGCAUAAAGUAUCACGGUAUGCUAUAUGAGAUUUACACGUUUUAAAUGUAUUUAUAUGCGUAAAUUGAUAAAAAGAAAGUCAAAUAUUUGAGAUAAAUGAAUAAUUUUAAAUCAUGCUAGAAGAAACCCCUCAUAAACCAAUUAAAGCUGAAUCUACAUAAUAUUUAAUAAAUAACUUAUUGAAUCACAUUAUUGCUAGCUCAUUGUGAGGCUAAGCACACCCUCUCCCUUUCAUUUAGAUAAUCUUGUUUGUUUAAAAAAAUCAUUUUACAACUAAUUUGAUCACAUUAUUAUUCACGUGUGAAAGACUUUUUUUAUAACUGGCAUUACACGCCUCUUUAGAUGUUUUGAACGUGUUUAAAAAUAUAGAAAAGAAUAUUGAAUGAACAACUGAUUGAAUCACAUUAUUGCUAGCCUAUUGUGAGGUACUUAUUAAAAAAAACAGUACAAAAAAUUAAUUAUUAAAAAAACACUACUAAAAUGAUGAAAAUACCAUGCCACAUUUGAUGUCUUAUUUUGGGUUGCUUUUGAAGUUUUUUGUUUGAGGGGCAUUUUUGUCCAAUUAUUUUUUGUUGAAGCUUGUGACACCAAAAAAACAGUAUUCACUUUAUUGUUGGCUUUUUAUGUAGAUACUUUUAAGUUUUAUACGUAGUAUACUCACGUGAGCUGGUUAGAUUAGUCAUAAAUGGGUGAUUAGCCACUAACAGAUUUGGACCUACGUCGUCAUGCAAUGCUUAACACCUUUCUACCAUUAUGAGAAAGUGGCUAAUCACACCGAUGAGUCAUUAGCCACCGACGGGUUCAGACUCACGACGUCAUGUAAGAGCUUAAUACCUUUUUGUUAUUAUGGUAAAGGACCACUACCACGCGAGCUGGUUGGAUAUAUACAGAAGGGUCCUUUCAGCCUUGAGACCAUGAAUUUCCCCAUUAGGCUUGGCGCCAGACAAAGGAAAAAUGGAAAGUAAAGAAGAGAGAAAAAUAAGAAAAGGAAAAGAAGGUGAUGGUGGAAUUGCCGGACAAAGAAAAAAUGGAAAGUAAAGAAGAGAGAAUAAAAAAGAAAAGGAAAAGAAGGUGAUGGUGGAAUUGCAGAAAGAAAUAAAGGAAAAGGAAAGAGGGAGUCCAUGUGAAGAAAAGGCAGAAGAAGAAAGAAAACAAAGAGAAAAAAAAAAAGAUGAAUGAGGAUCAUAGCCGUUAUUAGGAUUCUGGAAAUCCUUCAAUCACAUCUAUUCAAUUUAUAUUGUAUGGUCAGAACUUAUUGUAAAUUUUUUAUUUAAAAUUAAUAUAAAUAAUGUCUGACAAAAGCUAAUUGCAUAAUGUAUGAUAAACAAAUGUGAUUAGAGAAUUUAUAGAAUCCUUACAAAUAUGAUCCGACGGGGACCUCCUCUAAAAAAAGAUGGUGAAAGUUGAGACAGGAAAGAAAAAGAAAGAGGUAAAAGAAAGGGAAAAAAACAAUGGUGGUGUCUGGCAUGCAAAUACAGAAGUAGAAAAGUGAUGAGAUUGUGUAGAAAAAGUGGAAGAAAGAAAAAAAAAAGGAGUGGAAUGAAAGUGGGGAGUGUGGCUCUUUACCACAAUGAUGAAAAAGUUAUGCGUCUUUGUAUUUCUACGUGAAUUCAAAUCUAGUUGGCUCCUCCAAGGUUGUGUGUCCUUGCAUUUCGGCGUGAGUUUGAAACAUCAACCAAAUUAUGAAAUGAAUGAAAACAAGUAUGUAUUCCAUUAGAACCAACCUCUGGGUGAUCUUCCUUGUCAAAAUUCCAACACGCCAUUAACAGUCAUUAACUUAGUCAGCAUAUGUAAUGAAGAGCUGAAAAAGUGGUUGGGAUUCUUUACUAAAUCAGGUUUUUGUGACAAACAUAAGAUUGAAGUUCCUAACAUGAAUGACAUGUUUCAAACUGUAGGGAUAAAAUAACUUCGGCGGGGACAUAUAUGCAUCAUUAUCAUGUUGAGAUGUUUUGUAAUGUUAUUGAUAUGCAACUCCAAGAGCUAAAUAUUCAUUUCACUGAGACGAAUAUUGAGUUGCUUUUUUGUGCGACAUGUAUGAAUCCAAGCUAUAUUUAUUCUCUACUUUUGACAAACAAAAGUUGAUUCGUGGCUUGCUCAGUAUACUUGAAUGACUUUUCGGCACUUGACUUGAUGAUACUGUUUUUUUUUUAAGGGACUUUUUGGCACUUGAUGAUACUUGAAAAUCAGCUUAAGAUGCACAUUAUGGACAUGAGCUCUAACAUUGAGUUUUCAGGAUUGAAUGGGAUUGCGGAUCUUGCACAAAAAAUGGUUGAGACAAAAUAAGAAACUGUUUACCCAUUAGUUUACUUGUUGUUGACAUUGUCACUCAUGUUACCAGUUGCAUCUCUCAGUGUAGAGGGCGUUUUGUGCUAUGAGGAUUGUAAACAAUUGGUUACUCAAUCAAAUGGAAGAUCAAAGGACAUAUGAUUGUUGGAUUGCCUAUAUUGAGAAAGACAUUCUCGAAGGUAUCAAACAUGAUGUAACUAAGCAACGAUUUCAUAAUAUAAAAACUCGUCCAUGGCAAAUAUCAUUGUAACUAAUGGAUAUUAUCAAUCAAUGCUGAUUUGUUGUCCUAGAAUGGGCUUCAGUUUUAUUUUUCCUUAUAUAGUUAAAAUAUUGUUAGUAUAGAUAUGUGUCUUUGCAGGUUCGAGGAUGACCCCUUUAAUUUUAACAGGUUCGAGGAUGAUCGCUUGCUCAAGAAACAAUGACUGCAGAACAUUGGAGUUACAGGUGAGUGUUGAGAAGUAAUGUACUUGAAUGGAUGACCAUAGGCUGCAUUUUGCAGUUAGUAUUUGGCAUGAUAUGUCGUUUUGUAUCGGAAAAUUAUAGAGCUAUACAGUUGAACUGAAUUUCAAUUGAAUUUGUGCGUUUUACGUUGAUUAGUUUGCUCACGAUCUUCAUUCAACACUUGUAGAGAUGGCAAAGGAUCAUUCUGAAAUCUUUUGUCUCUUUAUUUCAGUUGCUAAUUUGGCAAAAUGAUGCACCAAGCCAAGGUUUGAACGAACUGAAUCCUUUGGUUAUCUAAUUUAUAUGCUGAAAUGAUGUACCAAACCAAACUGUAUAUUCUAAUUGGUGAGGUAACAUAAUAUGUCCUCCUUGUCAAUGAUAGCAUUCAACAUUCAAAUUCUCUAACAAGUUUGUGACAACCCAUUCUGACUUUAUCAAAUUUUAAUUUCGAAAGGUGAGAAUUGACUAAAAUGCCCCUGUUGGGUUCAGCUUAUACACGGACUUUUGAGCCAGUGCUUAAUUUGUCUCAUUUCUUAGUAUAUCGGGAUAGUAAUCGACGUUAUAAAUGCAUGAGUGCAAACUAGAUCCAAAUUGGAUUUGUAACAAAGAAACUACACUCGUUUAAUAAACGGGUAAAUAUGUACACAAAAUUGUAUGAAAUUCAUAUUUCUAGGUAAUCAAAACCUAAUAAUUUCACAAACCAAGUUUGGAAUAAAAAAAAAAAUUCUAAGGAAAAGAGAUUAAAAAUGGAAACUUUGAAUAUUAUUAAAAAAAAUGACAACUAACGAAAAGUUCAAAAAAAAUUCUCACUUAAUGAAAAACUCUUUUUAAAGGUAUAGUGAAUAGUGUCAAUUAAAUGUAAAAAUGUAAUUUUUCGUAAAAAAUAAACAGUACCUGAGUGUUUUGUUAAAACUCCCUUAAAAAAAACCCAACAAUUUUGUUCAAGAAAAAUAGAAAGAUAGGAAAAAAUCUUUACCUUCCAGAACAUUGAAGUGUGUUUGGAUCAAAUGAGAGAAUCAAAUUGUUAAAUUCAAAUAUCUAAGCGGAUCUGUGUGAAUUUUGUAAGUUAUUUACAAGUUGAGGUCGGUGCCGUUUCUUAUUGUUGGCGAAGUGAAUUUUGUAAGGGGAGGAGUCGCAGAAGGUGGGAUAGAGACGACGGAGGGGGACCUGGGUUCUCUGUGGAGGGAGGUAUGGAGCCGUUGCUGAUCUCGGUCUUCUUGGAUUCGGGUUCGUUGGGGAGUUUGGGUGUGGUGGGUGGGUGAAAAUGGAGGGUUUGAUUUCUGUGAAGACGUUGGUUCUGGAUGUGGUGGGUGGGUGAAAAUGGCGGUUUGGGGAGUUUGGGAGUGGGUUGUCGGGAGGAGAAGUGGGUGUGGGAUAUAGUUGGCCGGAGAAGAUAGAGGCGACAAGGUGGGUACUUUGAAGAAGAUGGAGGUGGGUGGGACGCGGAGGAGAGAAGAGGGGGAGAUCGAACUCUUCUUAUCGGAGGAAGACGAUUGGGCCCAGAUUUCUAAAUUUUUUAUUAUUUUUAUUAUUAUUCUAAUUUUUUUAAAUAUCCAUGUGGACAUAUUGACUCGUAGCCUUAUGUCAUUGUUCAUGCAGGUGUCAUGUCAUAAAUUAACGGUUAAUUUAACAGUAAUCCUAACGGAUAUAUGAAAAUAUUCUACAAUUAUGACUUCAUGUAUCACUUUGGGAUAAAAAAAAUUUGAUGUACUAAAUGUUGAAAACUAAGAAACGUAAAUUGAGAUUAACCCUUAAAUUAAUGUAAAAUAUCGUUUUAUGAGUGAGUCACGAGAGCAAAUCCCUCGUGAGAAUGUGUGCGUUGAAUGUAUUGAGAUAUGCAAAAAGUAAAAUUAUAGCAGUUGCAUUGUUAAUUUGAUGCAUUGAGUUUACUUAUGCAGUUUUAGUUUGGCUAAAAAAUAUUAUUUUGAAGGAUAAAAAUUAGCAAAAAUGUGUUAAAAGUAAAUAAAAAAAAUUGUUGAUAUCACCACUAUUUUAAAAUCAUUCAUUCAAUUUGCAUGACUAAACGAUCUCAAAAUAAAUAAAUUUUACUUUACUUAGACUUGUUUCCUUACUUUACUUUUGGAAAAGACCGCACUUUCACUUUAGUGUGCUUUUGGCAAACGAUACUUUAACGUGUUUUGUCUUUAAUGAGACUAGUUGUUUGAUCGAAAACAAAAGAAUAAAUUUUAGAGAUAUUUUUACACAAUAAUAAAAAAAAUGCGCAACUCUAAUUGCGAUGCUUCUACCGUGAAAUGAAGUUGUAAUGCCGUGUGAGAGUGAGGAUGGCUCGAGCCAUGUAUUGUCAUUUGAAAAUUUGGAGUUCGUAAGCAAUGCAUCUAUUACUUUUUCACUUUAUCUGUGACAUCCCACAUCGCUUAAAUAUAUAUUUUCAUCUCUACCUAGUACGAGGCAUUUUGGGAACUCACUCGGAAUCCGAAGUUAAGCGAGUAGCACACGAGAGCAUUCCCAUGAUGGGUGACCCAUUGGGAAGUUGCUCGUGAGGUCCCAAAAACAAAACCGUGAGGGAAUGGUAAGCCCAAAGCGGACAAUAUCGUGCUACGGUGGUGGAGCGGGGCCAGGAAGUGAUCCGUCCCGAGCCGGAAUGUGACAAAUGGUAUCAGAGCCAAUCCCUACCCAGAAGUGUGCCGACGAGGACGUCGGGCCCCUAAGGGGGUGGAUUGUGACAUCCCAUCGCUCAGGAGAGUGAUCCUUAAAUGUAUAUUCUCAUACCUAAUAGCAUGAGGCAUUUUGGAAGCUUACUGGUUUUAGGUUCUAUCGGAACUUCGAAGUUAAGCGAGUAGCGCGCGAGAGCAAUCACAUGAUGGGUGACCCACUGAGAAAUUGCUCGUGAGUUUCCAAAAACAAAACCGUGAGGGAAUGGUAAGCCCAAAAUUGACAAUAUCGUGCUACGAUGGUAGAGCGGACUUGAGAAGUGAUUCACCCUGGACCGGGAUGUGACAUUAUCUAUUUCUUAUUAAAGAGAAUACAAAAUGACAAAACUGAUCUUGUUGGGUUUAAUGAAAUUUUACAUAGAAGUUUGAGCCAGUACUUAAUUCGUCUCAUUUUUUUAUUGUAUUUAGAUAUUAUUUGUCAUUGUAUGAACGCAUAAACACAAACUAGAUCCAAAUCAAACUUGUAACGAUUUAAAGUAUUGGCUUUUAAAAAUUUGUCCCGUAGUGAGAUUUUUCUUCCGUUAGAUCAGGCUUUUGCUUUACGGAAAGUCACCCCACCUAUCAAUUGCACUAUGCUUUUUCUCUCUUUCUCUCAGUGUUCUCCUCCCACUCUGUAACAUCUCUCUCACUCACUCAACCCUCUCUUUCUCCCUCUCAAACUCUCCCGUCCUCUCUUCUCUCUGUAACGCAGCGAAAGUCACCAAACCUCGACGAAUCAACGCUCAAACCACCACCACGUCCACCCUCUUGACCUCGCGAGCUCGAACCCGAACUCCGUUUCGUAGGAAACAGAGCCUAGAGGCUCUAGCUCGAAGCUCCGACGAGAAAGAAACUUCCCGACGAAGUUCCCGACACUUUUCCGACCACUCCAUACCGUUUUCGAAGAGUUGGAAGCCACCACACAACUCCCUAACAUCCAUGGGUCAAGUUUGAGGUAAUCCCCAACUCAAAAACCCACGGUUUCGAAGCUUUGGGUUUUUGGGCGAGACUUUCAGGCCAAUUUCAGUACAUUUACGUCUGCUUUUUGGAGUUCCAAGAGGUAUAAACUUGUUCCUUGUGCUUCAUUUCCAUAUAAAGAACGUAAAAAAUGGUUGAGAAAUGAGCAAGUUAUGGCCCUUUGAAAUUGUCCACAGUUUCCGUCGAUUUCAGGGACCUUCCGGCCUGUUUCUGGCUAAAUGACGGCGAGUUAGCCGUUGCUAUGGGUACCAAUCUGUUCGUCUCAUUCCGAGGCAUCAUUUCCAUUCUGAAUCACUCAAUUUGGUUGAGAUAUGUGGAAGUUAUGAUGAUUUAAAAAUGUCCCAGAAAACCGACGUGAAACUGCAUAAUCCGGUGACCCGCGACCGGAACCUGGUAAAAAGUAAAUGCAAAAAACGCAGUUCUAAAACAACUAAACACAUAAUUGCAUAUCAUUCCUAAAACACAGAGAAAUUUGUGAGAGUGGCCUAAAUAGAAAGAAAUGGAUAUGAAAUGAAGUUCCUUUUGAAACAUUGGUCCUGUGGGGUUUAAAAAGAACACGGGUGUUCUUUCGUCGAGUGCUACCACUCUCAUCAUUAACAUUGUCACUCUAGACAUUAUCACAAUUCUCAACGCAAAGUAAAGCCUUGUAGAAUUCCUUGGAUGUCGUACAUGGUGUAGAUGCUGCCAAGAAACAAAACUGCUUGCGGAUAUGUUAUUUGAACUGGUGGAGCCUUCUUGAAUAGUUGGUAUCGAUUGUUGGACAAUAGCAGGACAAUUCGUUGAACUUCCGAUGGUACUUAGCUACUGAUAUUUUGCCUUGUGUAGGUCCAUGAACUCGUCUUUUUUUUCUUUCCCGGGUCUUAUACUCCGCAUGUGUAAGAUUAUCUUACAUUGCCGGCCCCAAGCCCGGAUAAAGAAGGAGGGGGAGGGCGUUAGGUAGUUGAUAGCCGGUACUCCUAUUUUACGUCGAACCUUAUGAUAAUGAAUCCUGAAUGAAAUUGCUCUAAAGCUAGGUCGUCACUCGUAAGUGGUGCGUUGUGUCCCGAGCACAGUGAUAAGUGAGCAAGGGUCGCUGUAUCUCCACUGGUGCCCGGAUGCAGUGUUAAAUGAGCAAUAGAGCCAUAAUAACUCCUUUUUGAACGACUCCACUCAAAGUUGUUUGGAAGCAUCUGCUUCUAUCAACUUUGACCUUAUUAGACGGGGGAUGGUGAAGAAGCUAGGACAAGAGGGUAGAGUUCAAGCGAGUAGAAUGCGUUUAGGAACGUGGAACAUAGGAACCUUAACGGGAAAAUCUAUGGAAAUAGUGAAAGUUAUGGUGAGGAGAAGGAUAAGUAUUAUGUGCCUACAAGAAACUAUGUGGGUUGGUCUUAAGGCAAAGGAUCUUGAAAACUCAGGUUUUAAACUUUGGUCUUCGGGCAAAUAGAACAAGAAAUGAUGUUAGCAUUAUCGUGGGGUAGGAAAUAGAAUUAUGGCAAUCAAGAUUGUAAUAGGACAAGAACUCAUCAAUGUGAUUAGUGUGUACACACCUCAAGUAAGGUUGGAACGAGUUUGAAGGAGAAAUUUUGGGAAGAUCUUAGAAACUUGGUGCAAUGAAUCACUUAGACGGAGAAUGUAUUUAUAGGAGGAGAUUUAAAUGGACACGUGGGUAAGAGGAUAGGCCAUGGUUUUGGGAAGAGAAAUGAGGAUGAGGAAGUCAUCUUGGAUUUUGCAGUGGCAUACAAUCUCUUCUUAGCCAACACUUUCUUUAAGAAGAGAGAAGAACAUGUGGUAACCUACAAGAAUGAGUUAUCAAAAACACAAAUAGAUUUUCUUCUAACGAGGAAGGGGGAUCAUAUAACUUGUAGAAUUGCAAAGUUAUACCGGGAGAGUGUUUGGCUAAUCAACAUCGCUUGUUGGUGAUGGAUGUACAUAUCAAAAGAGAGAGUAAAAAGAACAAGACCUUGAAGUGUCCAAGGACUAGAAGGUGGAAUCUAAAAAGAGAAAGACAAGUCAUUUUCAAAGAGGAAAUAAUCACCCAAUGCGUGUGGAUAGAGAGGGGGAAUAUGGGCCCACAUAGAUAUUAAAAAUUACAUGUCCUUAGUUCACCCAAAUUGCAUAUCCCACAAACCAGAAGAUCCAAAACUUCAAACAUCAAGAAGCCGAAUUUCAUAUGUUAAUAUAGAAUAAAAUAAAGGAAAUUCUUACCUUCGAAUUAUCAGAGACAGAGGACUGCCACUACUGUUAUUGUGAGACAAAGGAGUGAAAUCAAUCAAUGAUUCAGUGGAACUUCUUCAGGGCAAAUUUUGUAAUUUUUAUUUUUUGGGAAAACAAAUAGUACAAGGAGUGAAAGGAAAAAGAACCUCAAAGGAGGAAGCAUCAAUGAAGCACAUAUGGAUUAAAAAAUUGGUUUUUCCUCCAAAACCCAGAUGGAAAUUCAAUAUUCAGAAGAGAAAAUCACCAAAAGGGAGAAAAAAUGAGGGUUUUUCUUAAUCCCCAAAUGGAGAAAAAGUUUUUUCUAAUAUUUUCUUAGUACCAAGAAUUUCGAGCCCGACCGGCGAGCGAGCAGUGUAAGCCCCCCCGAACCGUACUGCAUUGAAUUGGAGUGGCUGUGACUCGGCGUCAUGGAUCGGACCCACGUCCACCUCCCGAGUUGUAAAACGAGGAGGCCGAGAGCCAGCAGGAGCGCGGAAUGAUCCGACCGUUGAUCAACGAAGAAGAAGAAGAGGUUGAGGAAUAGGUCCACUAGUCGGGCUCGGCGGGGACGGAGUUGAGGAGGAGGGAGCACUGGGAGGCAGGGGUGGAAGGCAGGCCAGGUGAGGAGGAUGAGGGGCUUGGAUUUGGAGGGUUUGAAUUUGGGCGAUGGUGGUGAGGAAGGCGACUAUGAGGAAGACAAUAGGGUUUGGGAUUUUUCUUUUUUAUAAAUUUUUAUUAGCAUUUUUAUAUUUCUAUAUUUUAUUAAUAUUCAUGUCGGCCUAUAUUAACAUGUGGCGUCUAGUUAUUGUUCACAUAAGCGGCAUGUCAUCAGUUAAAAUAGAUUCUAAUGGAAAUCUAAACAGAUAUAUGAAAGUGUAACUUUAAGUACCAGAUUGGAACGAAAAAAACUUAAUGUAUGAAAUGUUGAAAACCAAGAAACUUCUAGAUAGUAAAUUGAGUUUAACCCUUUAAGCACACAAUUUUUUUUUUUUCAUAAAAUAAAAAUACAACCUAGAUUUAAACAGGACAAAAAUAUAUGAUUAUUAAUGUUGUGUUGGGGUGCUUCUUUGGUUUAGGCAUCAGAGCACUGAGCGCGGGACUUACAAAAGCCACCAACAAAGAGAAGCAUUCCAGCCGUAGUCCUUGAUUUCAGAAGGAAAUGGAAAUUAUAAUUGCAAUUGCCUCAAAAGUUGGAGAGUGCUUGGUCACACCAAUAGGAACAGAGUUUGGCUAUUUGAUUAAUUACCAUUCCAACCUGGAAAAUCUUAAGGGUGAGAUAAAAAAGCUUUUUGACAAGAAAGAUGGAGUGCAAGGAUUGGUAGAUGCUGCCCAAAGGAACAGUGAAAGUAUCAAACCUGAUGUUCAGAGUUGGCUAAAGAAUGUGAACAACAUGAUCCAGAAAGUGUUACAUUUUGAGGAUGAAAUUAACAAGAAAAGGCGAUGUAUGAAUCGAUGGAGCUUGAGUCGGAAAGCCUAUAAGAUUACACAACAUGUUCUUCAGCUCCAAAACGAAGGAACAUUUGAAAAUGUGGCCCAUCCUGCACCUCCACGAGGGAUAUGGUCAAAAUUCAAGAAAGGUUUCAAGGACUUUAAGUCCAGAACGGCAUACAUGAAUGAGGUGAUAGAGGGUUUGAAGAGGGAACAAGUACGAAUGAUCGGGAUUUGUGGAAUGGGGGGUGUGGGUAAAACGACAAUGGCGAAAGAAAUCAUCACAAGAUUGGCAAAACUGAACCUGUUUGAUAAUAUUGUAAUGGCAACUGUGUCUCAAAGUCCAAGUAUUAGCAAGAUCCAGUCGGAAAUUGCAGACCAAAUAGGUUUGGAAUUGAAGGAGGAAUCCGAGUCCGGAAGAGCAAUAAAGCUGCAUGGGAAACUCAUGGAAAUAAAGAUCCUGAUUGUAUUAGAUGAUGUCUGGACAUAGCUUGAUUUUGAGGCUAUAGGACUCCCUUCUGGAGAUGCUCACAAGGGGUGCAAAGUUUUGUUGACAUCACGAGAUUGGGAAGUCUGCAACAGGAUGGGAAGUCAACCAAUUAUUGAAGUCCCGACUUUAACAACAGAAGAAUCACAUGACCUCUUUAAAGAAAUGGUAGGUGAAUCCUUCGAUGAGCCUGAUUUACGUUCCAUUGCAAAAGAGGUCGUUUAUGAAUGUGGAGGUUUACCUAUAGUCAGAAUCACAGAGGAAAAUGAAGAAGAGGCGACAAAAUACAUGAUUUUGUUUCUAAAACUGAACACAUUUGAACUAGAAAACCUGCCUCGUCUCACAAGUCUUUGUCCAGAGGGAUUUACAUUUCUAUGGUCAUCCACAAAAAAUAUGUACGUACGAAAAUGUGGAUCAUUGAAGACAUUGGGUGCUGUAAUUCCACAAAGAAAGAAGUUGGAGAAUAACUUGAAGAAGGAUUCAACAAGUCAUGAUUUCAGCACUUCUCCAACACGUUCAUCAAAUUGGUGCCCUGCUGGAUGUGGAUGCGCACCAUAUUCAAGACCAAACGCCCACCGCCCCAUUGAAAUAUUGCCAUGUCCAAUUAACCUGGAGGUAAGCUUUUAAAUCAGGUUCAAUUAACCUCUAUAAGUACAACUUUUAAUUAGUAUUGUAUCAUCUUGUUGAUCGUGUUUAAUUUCCUAGGUUACACCAACUAAUCUUGAGGACUCAAAUGAUGAUGAUAAUCUCGCAAAUCUUCGUGUCCAUGACUGUGCAUCAUUGGAAGUGAUUUUCCAACUAAAGGGGCCGAAGCAUGAAGAAAGUAGUCACUCCGUUGAAGCAUUCAAUAAAUUGAGGUCCUUGCGGUUAGAUAUUUUGCCAAGUUUAACGCGUGUUUGGGAGACGGGUAGUUCACAACCGAUGUUGACAGGAAGCAGCUUCGGAAACUUGAAAUCGCUGCGGGUCUUUGAUUGCGACCAGUUGAAAUACUUGUUUUCAUCGUCCAUUGUCAAACUUCUCGUGAGUAUGGAGGACAUAAAAGUUCAGAAGUGUGAGCAGAUGGAAGAAAUCGUUGCCGCAGAAGAAGAAACUGAUGAAACAAUUACAUUACCUAAAGUGAAGUCCAUCAAGCUUGAAAGUCUGCCAAAACUCAAGUAUUUUUGUGGUGAAGCUUAUACUUUGAAGUUGCCGUCUUUGGAGUUAUUGGAGGUUGAUGACGUGCAAAACUUAAGCCUAUUAGCUCCAAAGCUUAUUGCCACACAUCCCUGAUUGCAAGUAAACACCGCGUUGGGACUGGCUGAAUGGAAGGGGGACCUAAACGCCACUCUUACGGAAUAUUUACAUCACAAGGUAUGCUUUAAUAUAAGGUUUCUAAUUUUCAAUCGCUUAUGCGUGCAUGUUUAAAGAUGUUUUUUUUUUUCAACAUCUCUCUUUUAAAUCUUGAUGUAUACGUGGAAUUUCUGAAGUUUUUACAAAAGACUAUAUAAUAGCAUUAUAUUAAUGUAUAUGUGUGUGUGUAUGCGAGUAUGUGCACACUAAAGUGUAUUUAAAUAUAUAUAUAUAUAUAUAUAUAUAUAUAUAUAUAUAUAUAUAUAUAUAUAAUUUUAGAAAACUCAAUUAUAUCUCAAGAAAACAUCGUCUUUUAUUUCUAAUACAGUACGGAUGAAGAUAACGAAAUCGAUGGCAAGGAUGACGAUGACAAAAUCGACGGCAAGGAUGAAGAUGACGAAACCAACAGGGAGGACGAACACAGUUGAUUGAUCAAGCACAAAGGUUAGCAUGUUUCCAUCUCCAACUUCUUCUAGGUUUAGUAAAAACUUAUGAAAAUUAUAUAUAUAGUACUCAAAAAAGUAUUCUACCAUGUUUUAUAAUAUAUACAUACAUGUAUAGCACUUGAAAAAUUGAACAGUUUGGAUCUAAAACCACAAUCUGCUACCUGAUUCAUUUUUUCGAGGUACCUAAUAGCAGUUAAGGUGUGAGGAAGAAGCUUUUUAGAUUACCAACUGCCUCAAGAGAAACCUUUAUCAGAAACACAUAUACAAUAAACAUAACCGUAGUGCUAAGUGGCCUAAAAAUUAAUUUAUCCUUAAACCGCUAUUUUUGGAAACACAUAUACAAUAAGCAUAACCGUUUGAUUUCUAAUAUUCUCCAAUGCAUGCAGGAAAAGAGUUUAAAGAACGUUGUGGCUCCAGCAAUUCGUUUACCAUAUCAUAUGCACAAACCAAUAAAAGGACAUUUGUUGCACCAGAAUUUCAUUCCAAAAAUACUAUUUAUGUUGCUUAUUUUAUGUACCAUAAAUUUCGAUUGCGAUUAUUACUGUUUGUUUCUAAAUUCGCAUCAUUAGUAUUUGCUUAUUUGUGCUCGAGGUUGAUUAUACACGUGUAAGCUGAAUCACAUGUUUGUAGAAUGGACAAGCUGAAUAAAAUCUGUUUGCCCCCUAAAUGUAAUGGAAAUCAUAUGUAUCUAGGCAUGCUUAAUAUUUGAUAAAGAAAAACAUUUCUCAAAUAAAUGUCCACUCACACCUCCGGCAAGCUCGCCCUUGAGGAGCCUUGUCUACCAAAUAGGUAAACAUCUACUGGACAGCAGGCGAUUCAAAACCAUAGCAAACUGCUGAAUACAACUAGAGUAAACAAGGAAUCAGGCUAUGCAAUUGCCAUCAUCAUAACAUGAUUUUGGCCCCCAUCUUCUAAUUUCCUACCACAUUUUCACAUUCUUUCCAUGAAUUUUAUGAUUCCUAUGCAACAGAGUUCAUUCAUCGCCUAUUCACAACAAUACAAGGUUCUACAGAGUUCAAUCCCACACCAUGUUAUAGACAUGCUUCAACUAUCAACCGGGAACGUAAUCGUUAGGGGUUUCAACAAUUUCACAGAUACAACAAUUACUAUAAGUCUCAUCUCCAACAUUCAUACAGAAAAUCGAAUAAAAUUCGAAAUCAAGAAUCAAACCCAAAACUGAAAGUUGAAAAUUUGGAAAAAGAACUUACAUUGGAGAACAGCCCACGAGAAGAGUAUCAUUUCUACCUCUUGGGUCGAGGUCCAAUUCCCGCGAUAUUGGCCGGAAACCCCUGGGUCACCGUUUCUUAGAUUUGAAGUUGAGGAAAAUCGCCUACGAAAUUAUAGAAACUAACUUGGGGGAUUGGAUAAGGGACGGCAAGAGCAUUCUGGAUGUGUAGUUUGAGAGCUUUUGGUGACCAGUGGACGACAGAGCUGUUGCGUCGGCACUCGGCAGUCUUCGGCUUGCUGUUAAAUGGGGCUCCAGGAGUCGCAGCGCAAAAGAGAAGGAGGAGAGAGGAUACGGGAGGAGGAGAGAAAAUGGGUUUCUCCCACCUUUUACAUUAAUUCUUUUCC
rnacentral:lncRNA from 1 species